rnacentral:lncRNA from 1 species
AACUUUUCAGAAUUAUUUCUUCAAUAUUUGGUGACAUAGAAAGGUCUGGUAUUCUAGUAAGUUUCCGAGAAUAACUCAGGUCGAGCCUUUUCAAGUUGGGUAAAUUCUGCCACAAAUAGGAAAUGAAUGAGGUAACAAAUAAAAACUACUUUAUCUAUUUUUCUUCGGUAAAAUAUUAGCUACAUCAUCUAAUCUAUUCACUUUAUAUUUUACAUUACUUCAAAACCACUGUUAAAAAAAAUCACACUGUCAACUAACAAAACUGUGGCUAUAAAUUUAAUAGUUAUUAUAAAAAACCACAAAAUUUAACGUGUUUUUGUUCCCUACCUCAAAUUACAUCCUAAUAAUUUGAACCUAAACUUAUUAUGUAUUUAAAAACUGAUGAUAGUAAUUUAUAAUCGAUGACAGUGUGGAAAUACUUUAUAUCAUGCAUGUAUCAACUGACAAAAUAAAAUGGUGUUGUCUGAUGAUAGUAAUUUAUAAUCGAUGACCAUCUUUCCAUAAUUUAUUUUAUUAAAUACAUAAUUUGUUGUAUAUUAUAUUGAAGUUUAUGUUAUAAUAAUAAAAAAAUACUUAAUUAGGUUUUGAGUAUCCAGUAAGACAUUUUUAAUUAAUUUUUUUAUUAAAUUUUUUAAUUAUUUAAGUACUCAAAUUUUUUAUAUUUCCAAUAGAAUAUAUGUCAUUUUUAAUUUUUGAGUUAAUUGGGUGAUACAGAAAUUAUCUUGUCACAUGAUCUUACUUACUUGUCUUUAUGUAUUAAGGAAUAUGAAGUUUUAUGAUUGGCCAUUAGACUAUAUACCUAAAAAGAGGAUGCAAACUCUUCUACAUGCUACUAAAUUUAUAACUAUCUUUAAUUAGAAACAUGCUGAGUAUGAUUCUUAUGAUAUAUGUAUAACUGUGUGGUUCAAAUAAAAGAAAUUUCAAAUCGAAUAAUGUGGAGAAGCACAAAGGAAUUGCAAAUGAAAACCAGUAGAUGUAUAAUACAGAAAACAUGCUUGUAUAACUUAUUUUUGUCUUUGAAAGUUUAGAACACAAAGAAACAUAGAUAGCUUGAAAAACCUGAUCUCCUUCCCAGAGUUGUUCAAGAUGGCAGUAUGGCAUUUCGAGGGUCACUAGAUUUUGCGGGCAAAAGUUUGGAGGCAAAGAUCUUUGAGGGAAAUGUUUCCAAUAAAGAAUCUUUAGAGUGUCUGGCAGACCUACAAUAGAUGAUUCAAGAGACACAUUUGACGUGUAUUUUGGCGUGUUGAGCAUAAGCAUCCUAAGAUUGUCCAUCUUUUCGAAACUUUGUGCAUGUACUACAACUUCAUUUACUUUGCUCGUAUCUAGUGAUAUACACUGUAUUGCAUCUAACCCCUGAAAGUAAAUCAAUGUAAUUAGAAAAAAAAAGCAUGAAAUGUUGCUGUAUGGUUAUGGGCAGAUUGAUGAGAUAUGGUAACCUUCGGAUACUGAUCAUGAAGUGACAUAAAGGAGAAGGAAGCGUUACUGAAGGAGAGUAAUGGAAAUUUAUGAGAAAUUAAGCCGUUGGUUACAGAGACUAGGUAGGGACCGAGUCAUCUAUACCAGGGACCGAGUCAUCUAUAAGAGGAGGCAGAGACGAAGAGUAGGGGUAGGAAAAAAAGAUAUGGUUUUUAUAUUAUCUUUGAUGCUCUAGCUAAGGAUCAUCUGUCCUAAAACAGUUGCAUUUCUGGAUGUUUAAUGACAGCUCAAUAGUUUGCAGUUUUUUCACAAAGUAACAACAGAAUAUACCUUGUUUUUUCUUAAAACAUCACAAAUUUCCUCAGCAUUAAACAGUCGGCUGCGUUUUCCAGGAUGCCGACGACACUCUUUACGAACAAUUUCUUGACCCAUUUCUUGUAUUAGAUCGUGCAUCAUAAUAAUACCAUUAAAGACAGAUAUUAGGCACCUAUCUUUGAGAACAUCCAUUACAAUCUUAGUAGAGAAACCAUUGCAGUCAUCAAGUAUUUCUGCCAGCACAAUCUCCUGGUAUCCUCUAUAAAAGCAAGCAAUGUCAAGAAAUAUAUUCUUCUCCACCUCCUCGAGCCCAUCAUAACUUAAUUUUAAUACAUUGAAAAUACCAUGAUGUUGGCCCUUUUUCAACUUUUGCAACUGACUUUCCCAUGCUUCUUUUGUUCUGUCACAAAGCAAUGAGCCCAAAAUCUGGAGAGCUAACGGAAUCCCUUUUGCAUAACUCAACACCUUUCCUGACAGUUCCUUGUAAGCAAUUUCUUCUGAAGAUUUUUGUUUAAAAGCAUGUAAACUAAAAAGUCUUAGAGAAUCAUCAGAAUUCAACUCCUUAACUUCGUAGAUAUCAUCAGCUCUAGCAUUCUUAAGCACUUGUCUGUCUCUACUGGUCAUAAUGAUUCUACUGCCCUGCCUAAAACUAUCACUCCAUCCUAUUAAUUUUUGAAGUUGAGCUGAAUCGGUAACAUCAUCAAGAAUGAGGAGAGCCUUUGUCCGUUUGAGCCUUUCUUUGUAAUAUGGUAAAGAAGAAGAUUUCUCUUCCUUUAGAAGCUCAGACAGAUAUUUUGUUCUGAUACUAUCUAUUCCAUCUCUUUGUAUUUUUUCUUGAACGUCUAAAACAAGGCUGCUGGAAUCAAACUGCAAUGCCAAUUUCUGAUAUAUUUGAUCACAAAUUGUACUUUUUCCUAUUCCUCCCAUGCCCCAAAUUCCUAUGAUCCGAACAUCCGGUGACUCAGGAUGCAACAAGGACUGAAUUCCUUCAAUAUGUUUUUGAAUGCCGAUGAUUCCUUGAUCAUAACUGGUGGAAUAAAGAUUCAAUUUUCCCAAAAUAUCUUCCACAAUUUUUUCAACAAGUUUGUGGUCAUUCCUGGCAGAUGAUUUAGAAAAUAAAGUAUAAGAAUUCAAGCACAAAAGCUAAACUAAACUAAAGAAAAAUUCAGAGUCAAGAGGAGUGAACAUCAUUGAAUAGAUUCACAUAUCGAUUCUAGUUUCGAGUUCUGGAUAAAAUAAAUAAAUUAAAAAGUUGAAGGUAAGUUUAGGACGUUAUCUUCCUAUAUUAGUUUGGUUGGUUUAGUAAUUGCAAAUCAAGAUCGCAGAAAUUCUACAGUAACCGUAUGUGACUUCUGAUAAUAGGGAGCAGAUUUGUAGGUACAAAGUUAAGCUAUAACAUGUGAUAUGGUUCAGAUCCAUGACCGACUAAGAGAAAUGAAAAAAGAAACACUUGAUUUAUGGUGAGAUGAACACAAUUUUAGUAAAUGAAAAGAGAUCCUGAUUAUCUAAUAAAUAUAAUGACCUGGUGACUUUUGAAUCCCAGCCUGCAAGUUCAGCAGCUUCGGUUAGAGCAUCCUUCCAUCCUUGCACUCUGUCCAUGUCGUGCUUAAGCCGCUGUUCAUGCUCAUCAAAUGCUUCUUUGAAUCUUUGUUCCUGCUUCCUAAUAGUUGAUGGAUCCACCUUGUAGAAAACAGGUAUCACAUCCCUUCCAUAUCUCUUCUUGCAUUCAAGUAUCUUAGUGAGUUCAUUCAAGCACCAAGUGGAAGAUGCAUAGUUUUGGGAGAAAACGAUGACAUAAAUCUUUGAUUCUUCUAUUGCAGAGAGUAGUGCAGGUGAAAUUUCUUCGCCCCGGGGUAGUCUCUCGUCAAUAUAUGCUUGAAUGUUCUUCCUUUGCAGUGCUGCAUGAAGGUGACGAAUGAAGUUGUCACGUGUGUCUUCCCCUCUGAAGCUGAGAAACACAUCAUGCUUUGUUAGAGAAGCAGACACGGGGAAUGAUGAAGGACUUCCUGACAUUGGAAUCAAUUUUCUCUCUUUUCUCUUGCAACUCUCAGUGCCUUUGUUUGUACACAAAUCAACUCUUGGAAAAGUCUUUGAAUUUUCUCAAAAGUAUCUUUCACAGAUCACGCACGCGUGGAAACAUAGCUGUGUUAAAAUCCUUAUUUAAGUUUUAAUUGGGCCUUGUAGUGGGCUUUGUAAUGUGCUUUUCUUUUCUCCUACAUUGCUUUAUAUAUACACCUCAGCGUUUGCUUUCUACAUUUCAUUUUACAAAAUACAUUCUCUCAUUUUCUACCUUUUAUAUUGUCUGAUUCCGUUCUCUCUUUAUUUUUUUUCAAAUCUCUUUUGCUUACAAUUUUUUUUUCUUUUUUAAGAAAUGUACUUUUUCAAGUUUAAUUUAAUUUUAUAAAACAGUCAUCUUUCUACAGUAUUAUCAUCUCUUACGUGAGAUUAUUAUAUAUUAUUUGGUGAUCUAAGUAAACUUUUAAUCCAAUAAACUUUAAAAAUAAUUCUAAUACUAUAUUAAAAAAUGAAAUUUAAAUCUAAUUCUAUUUUAUAAAAUAUAUUUAUUCAAUGCUAAAAUAUCUCUAAUUGAGUAGGGAUGUUCAAAAUACUUAUUGGUUCUUGAUUUUCACUUUCACUUUUAAGGUUUUUCUUCGCAGACACGUAGUAAACAGAAAUACAAAAAUAUGAGUCAAUGGAAGAGUCUAACGAUUCGCAGAAUAUUAUGGUGUCUAGCUUUAUACCGCAUUAAUGCGAGGAGUUUCUUUAAUAUUUUUACUCAAUUUAUUUAUUUUUAAUUCUUUUUUUUUUCACACCUUUUACAAAUAAAGAAUCGUAUUUCUUUAAUAUAUUUUAGAAAAUAACCACUAAACCUUAUUAUAAAAUAUAUUUAUGAAAUGCACGUGUAAGAAUAACAGGAAAAAUAUUACUACGAAAAACAAUAUAUUAAUAUUAAUAUGUUUCUUAAUAAAUUUCAUACCCACUGUCUAUUUAUAAAUUAAUAUAAUAUAAAUAUCUUUAAUGAUGUUUUUGUGGGUAGCUUAUUUCUCUAACGCAGAAUAUUAUGGUGUCUACUUUUAUAAAACAUUACAUUUUGAUUUUAAUAUUUAUUAAAUAUUUUUUAUUUGGGAUGAAGUAACGAUGAUGAAUCGAAUGUGUUUUGAAGUCUGACAUAACUUUUAGAGAUGUUAUGAGAACGGUUAAUGACGGAAAUUAUCAAAAACCUUUUGGGGGAAGGUUGUGGUUUUGGGAGGUGAUUUCAGGUAAAUAUUGUUAGUGGUAAAAAAAGGAUUAAGAUAUGAUGUUGUGAAGUCAACAAUCAACUUUUCUCAUUUGUGGUUAAAUUGUCGAGUCUUAAAACUUUCUCAAGGAAAUCCAACACGAUCUAUUGAUUGAGCCCACAAAAACACCUUUGUUAUCAUUGGUGAAUUUUGUUUAUCCUAAUUUAUUGACUGAUAUGUUAUGUCCUGAGUACUUUGAGUAUGGAGCAAUACUUUGUCCGACAACUGAAUCAGUAGAGCAAGUGAAUGAUUUUAUUUUAUCUCUGUUAAGUGGUAAAUAAAUAAAUUAUCUUAGUUCGGAUACACCUUGCCAAUUAGAUUAAGAUCAAGAAUUUAAAGUGAAUGGUUCACUUCUGAGUUCUUAAAUGAGAUAAAAUGUUCAGAGAUACUAAAUCAUCGCCUUCAUUUGAAAAUUGGCGUGCCUAUUAUGCUUUUGAGAAAUAUUGAUCAAACCAACGGUCUUUGUAAUGGAACAAGGUUGCAAGUUAUUGAUUUGAAGAAAAUGUUAUUUGUGCAAUAGUUCUAACAGGAACAAAUAUUGGUGAUAAAAUCUUUAUUUCAAUAAUGAAUUUGAUCCCUUUAGAUGUAGGUAUGCCAUUCAAAUUCUAGAGAAGACAAUUUCCAAUAACUUUAUGUUUUGCAAUGACAAUUAAGAAAAGUCAAAGUCAAUUAUUGACCAAAGUUGGUUUAUAUUUUUCACGUCCAAUUUUCACACAUUGAUAGUUGGAUGUAGCUAUUUAUAGAGUUAGAAAGAAAAAAAUUUAAAAAUUCUAACUCUUGAUGAAGAUGGGAAUGCAACAAACAAGAAAAAGAAAAUGUUUACACUGAAACUUUUGACAAUAUUUAAAAACAAUAGAAUUAUAUGAUAAACUUGGAAUAAUGGCUAAUUCUCCCUGCACCCAAUAUUUUUGAACAUGCAACUUUUAAAUUUGCUCCCUUGUAAUUAUAUUUUCUUAUGUGUGAUGUAGUAACAGUUGCCUUAUUUAAAAUGUUACUAAAUAACAUAUCAUUUAUAUCUGUUAUUUUUAUUCUGUUCUGAUUUUAUAUAUAUGUUAACGAAGUUGAGAAUUUUCUGAUUUUACAGGUCCAUGCACAAACCUAAUAUAAUGAUAUGAUAUUCAAUAUCAAGAGGUACUUGUCGUAAAACGGGGAAUAUGAGAGACUCCAUAGAAUGAAGAAAAAGUAUAAAGAGGAUUUACAAAUUACCCUUUCAAAUGCAGCUCCUCAGAAUUUCUUAAUGCCUUCACUGCAAAUGCAACCCAAAUAAGCUAAAGAAGUUAAUCAAACUAUACAUUAAGAGUUUCAAGAAAAUGAAACUCUGGAACAACAGAGCAACCCAUCUCAUGCUCAAUAGAAACAUCAAACUAUAUCUAACAAUAACUUAGAAAUCUUUGUCAACAAUUGAACGAACCCACUCCUAAAAUGCCAUUGAAAAUGUAAAUAAAUAAAUAAAAAUUAAAAAUGAGAAUUCAUAAUAAAAUUUCAUCGUGUUGAAACUUGUAAUUUAGAAGUAUUACGAUAAGCCAGUUUUGAUCCUCGCGAAUGAAAGACUAAUUAGCAGAAAGACUGUGCAAAAUUCCUUCCACUGGAUUCUUCGAUGUCAACUGAUUUGGUAUAAAGAGGACAUAUGCCGCAUUCUUUUAUUGUGAUAACUGAUUUCAACUCUCUCACAAGUAAUUUGCGAUUUGACCGAUUUGGCCGCAGAAAGGGAUCAUCAUAAUCAUGCGAACUGAUCUCAAAAGUGAAGCUGCGAGCAUCACACAGCCUAAGGCUCAUGCCGCUUGCCCUUAGGGACUCCAAGUUAAAUUUCCACACCAAUGUGUGAUCUUUAUCAACACCUCUCUCUUCAUCAUCCCAUCUGAAAUAGUUGUUUAACACAUCAUUAUUUGGAAUUAUCCGUGUGCCAUGAUCAUCAGAUUCAAAUUUUAGGCUGUAACCAAAGGAACCAUAUCUACCUUUAACAACUUUCGUAUCUAACACUUCAAAAACCACACACAAAGCGAAACCACUGAGCCUAUCAUCGCUUAAAAAACUUAAAUCUUCAUUUAUAGUCACUGAAUGUCCCUUCCCACGAAAAUGGAACCAACCAGGAACUGCACUCCCUGGAAAACAGAAGAACACACACCUAUAUCUAUCGUCGGUCAUCCUAAGCCUUGCAUCCUCCUCAAUGUUAGCACGACCACCUGAAUCCAGUUGUUGAGCAUUGGUCAAAAGAAAUUUGAAGAAACCCUCUUUGGAAUUUGACAAGUUUGGAACAAGAGAAUUGGACAUCACUCUUCUAAUGGAUGGGCAAUCCAAUGCCACUAGUUUUUUUAGAAAUGGUGGAAUCUCUGGGAUGCAUUCAAGCUUUUUGCAGUCGCUUAAAUCAAGCGAUUUCAAGCUUGAAAGAUGAGCAACGCUCUCAGGAAGGUUCACAAUUCCGCUAUCACACAGUGACAGUUCCAUUAAUGACGUCAAGCGACCGAUAUCUCUAGGGAUUUCUGUUAAUCUGGCACACCCCGAACAAUCAAGUUUAGAGAGAAGCUUGAGAUUAACAAUGGAGUUUGGAAGUGACUCCAGAUCAGUGCAUUUGCGGAGCUCCAGGGAUCGAAGAUUAACCAAAUUGGCAAAUGAGGAAGGCAGUUCUUUAACAGCCGUACAUAUCAAGUUAAUGUGAUCAAAAGUAGGAGCCGGCUCUGUGAUCUCUGGGAAGGUCCUCAGACUUGAGCAACCACACAAAUCAAGGUUCCUCAACUUCAAAUUGAAAAUGGUGCUUGGAAAAGUUUGUAGUGAACUACAGUGGGUAAGGUCUAACUUGCAUAGUCUGGUGAGGCUUCCAAUGGAAGAUGGAAUAAUCUCAAGAUUGAAGCAACUGCACAAACUCAGUUGUUGAAGCCCUACCAAACGGCACAAGGAUGAAGGUAGUGCCUGUAUGGCUGUGUCGUCUAAGAUGAGCACCACUAGAUCUUCCAACGUGUCCUGAAUCUGGGGUAAAUUUUCCAAUUUUGAGCAACCACGGAGUGAAAGUUGCUUUAGGAACUUCAUAUCAGAAAGGUCAAAUGGAAAGAUUGUAAGGGAAGAACAGUGAGAGAGAUCUAAGUGACAGAGCCUCUUGAGAUUUUGAAAGUUUGAGGGUACACCUUCGAGUAUUGUCGACACUUCACAUUGUGAGUAUAUAGUAUUAUUACCCACUUCUUCUUCGUUAUAUCUGUCAAAACUAAUUGAGGAAAUUUCACUGGAAGUUGGGAAAAUACCUUUAGCAUUAUGGAAUUUAACAGUCCCUCCCAAAAGUAAACUUGAGAAAGUUGGACGUUGACCCUCCAGUUUCACAUGAAGGUAUCUGGGUUGACUGGUUGAAAACAUUUCAAGCUCCUCACAGUGAGAAAGAAUGAUCAAUCCUGGAGAUGUGGAUAAAAUCUUGUUGGGAAUAUUUACACUUUUGAGAUGAUAACAAUGAUCUAAACAUAAACAACUGAGCUUGCUGAGGAAUAUCGAAGAGUGAACUUUAAUCAACUUUUGACAAUAACUCAGAAUUAGUUCUUCAAUAUUCGGUGACAGAGAAAGGUCUGGUAUUCUAGUAAGUUUCAGAGAAUGACUCAGGUUGAGCCUUUUCAAGUUGGGUAAAUUCUGCCACAAAAAGUAAAUGAAUCAGGUAACAAUGAAAAACUAAAAUAAAGUUUUAUGCAAUUUUAUCUAUUUUUCUUCGGUAAACUAUGAGCUACAUCAUCUAUCGAGUUUAUAUUUUACAUAAAACCACUGUUAAAAAAAUCACACUGUUAACUAACAAAAUUAUGGUCACUAUAAAUUUUAUAGUUAUUAUAAAAAUUCACAAAAUUUAACGUGUUUUUGUUCUCUACCUAAAAUUACAUCCUAAUAAUUUGAACCUAAGCUUAUUAUGUAUUGAAAAACUUACUAUAGUAAUUUAUAAUCCAUGACAAUGUCGAAAUACUUUAUACUAUGCAUGUUAAAAUUUGAUAAAAUGUCGAAAUACUGACAAAAUAAAAAUGGUGUUUUCCGAGAGUUAAAAUUAAACUUUAGUUAAAAUAAGUCCAUCUUUACAUAUUUUAUAAUUUGUUGUAUAUUAUAUUGAAGUUGAUGUUAUAAUAAAAAAAUGACUUAAUUAAUCGAAAAAUGUGGAGAAAACACAAAGAAAUUGCAAAUGCUUGUAUAAUUUAUUUUUAUCUUUGAAAGUUUAAAAGACAAAGGAACAUAGAUAACUUGAAAAACCUGAUCUCCUUCCCAGAGUUGUUCAAGACGGCAGCCUGGCAUUUCGAGGAUCACUAGAUUUUGUGGGCAAAAGUUUGGAGGCCAAAAUCUUUGCGGGAAAUCUCUCCAAUAAAGAAACUUUAGAGUGUCUGGCAGACCUACGAGAGAUGAUUCAAGAGACACAUUUGAUAUGUAUUCAGUUGAGUAGAGUAAAAACGUCCAAAGAUCAUCCAACUCUUUACGAGACACAUCUGAUAUGUAUUUAGUUUUAUUUUGCUCGUAUCUAGUAAUAUACACUGUAUUGCAUCUGACCCCUGAAAGUAAAUCAAUGUAAUUAGAAGAAAAAAACAUGAAAUGUUGCAUUGCAGGAUGUUUGAUGACAGCUCAGUGGUUUGCAAUUUUUCACAAAGUAAAUUAAUGACAGGUCAGUAGUUAUAUACCUUAUUCUUUCUUAAAACCUCACAAAUUUCCUCAGCAUUAAACAAUCGGCUGCGUUUUCCAGGAUGCUGAGGACACUCUUUACGAACAAUUUCUUUACCCAUUUCUUCUAUUAGAUCGUGCAUCACAAUUCUACCAUCAAUGACAGAUAUUAGGCCCCUAUCUUUCAGAAUAUCCAUUCCAAUCUUAGAAGAGAAACCAAAGUCAUCAAGUCUUUCUGCUACCUCAAUCUCCUCGUGACCUCUAUAAAAGCAAGCUAUGUCAAGAAAUAUAUUCUUCUCCUCCUCCUCCAGCCCAUCAUAACUUAAUUUUAAUACAUUGAAAAUACCAAGAUGUUGGCCCUUUUUCAACUUUUGCAACUCACUCUCCCAUGCUUCUCUUGUUCUGCCAUAAAGCAAUGACCCCAAAAUCUGGAGAGCUAACGGAAUCCCUUUUGCAUAUCUCAACACCUUUUCUGACAGGUCCAUGUAAGAUUUUUCUGCUGAAGAUUUUUGUUUAAAAGCAUGUAAACUAAAAAGUUUAUGAGAAUCAUCAAAAUUCAACUCCUUAACCUCGUAGAUAUCAUCAGCUCCAGCAUUUCUAAGCACUUGUCUGUCUCUACUGGUCAUAAUGAUUCUACUGCCCUGCCCAAAACUACCACUCCCUCCUAUUAAUUUUUUAAGUAUAGCUGAAUCGGUAACAUCAUCAAGAAUGAGGAUAGCCUUUGUCCGUUUGAGCCUUUCAUUGUAAUAUGAUAAAUCAGGGGAUUUCUUUAUCUCUUCCUUUAGAAGCACAGACAGAUAUUUUCUUCUGAUACUGUCUAUUCCAUCUCUUUGUAUUUUUUCUUGAACGUCUAAAACAAGGCUGCUGGAAUCAAACUGCACUGCCAAUUUCUGAUAUAUUUGAUUACAAAUUGUAGUUUUUCCUAUUCCUCCCAUGCCACAAAUUCCUAUGAUCCGAACAUCCGUUGACUCAAGAUGCAACAAGGACUGAAUUCCUUCAAUAUUUUUUUCAAUGCCGAUGAUUCCUUGAUCAUAACUGGUGGAAUAACGAUUCAAUUUUCUCAAAAUAUCUUCCACAAUUUCUUCAACAAGUGCGUGUUCUGGCCUGGCAGAUGAUUUAGAAAAUAAAGUAUAAGUAUUCAAGCACAAAAGCUAAAGUAAACUAAAGAAAAAUUUUACAGUAACCGUUUGUGACUUCUGAUACUAGGGAGCAGACUUGUAGGUACAAAGUUAAACUAUAAGAUCAGAUAUGGUUCAGAUCCAUGACCGACUAAGAGAAAUGAAAAAAGAAACACUUGAUUUAUGGUGAGAUGAACACAAUUUUAGUAAAUGAAAAGAGAUCCUGAUUAUCUAACAAAUAUAAUGACCUGGUGACUUUUGAAUCCCAGCCUGCAAGUUUAGCAGCUUCAGUUAGAGCAUCCUUCCAUCCUUGCACUUUAUCGUGCUUAAGGUGCUGCUCAUGCUUUUCGAAUGCUUCAUUGUAUCUUUGUUCCUGCUUCCUAAUAGUUGAUGGAUCCACCUUGUAGAAAACAGGUAUGACAUCCCUUCCAAAUCUCUUCUUGCAUUCAAGUAUCUUAGUGAGUUCAUUCAAGCACCAAGUGGAAGAUGCAUAGUCUUGGGAGAAAACGAUGACAUAAAUCUUUGAUUCUUCUAUUGCAGAGAGGAGAGCAGGUGAAAUUUCUUCGCCCCUGUUUAAUCUGUAAUCAAUAUACGCUUCAAUGUUCUUCCUCUGCAGCGCUGCAUAAAGGUGACUAAUGAAGUUGUCACGUGUGUCUUCCCCUCUGAAGCUGAGAAACACAUCAUGCUUUGUUAGAGAAGUAGACACGGGGAAUGAUGAAGAACUUCCUGACAUUGGAAUCAAUUUUCUCUCCUUUCUCUGCAAAUCUCAGAUUCCUUUGUUUGUACCAUUUCUACCUGAAGAAGUGUUUAAAUUUUCUCAAAAUACCUUGCACAGCGUGUUCUGGUCAGACAUAAAGAAAAAGACAAAUAUUAAGUUAAUAGAAUAGUCAACAAUUUAAAAAAUAAGUAUGAAAUAUAGAUAUAUAUCAUUAUCACGUGUGGAAGCUACGUCGUCUUGUAUUGGAUUUUCUAAUCUGCCUUUUAUCUUGUCUCAUUCUUCUUUAUCUUUUUUCUCUCAUCUCUCUUGCUUACGAUUUCUUUGCCUUUAUUCAGAAAUUUUAUUUAUAAUAAACCUUCAAUAAUAUUUGUACUUUCUAGCAUAUAGAAUACUUAAUGGAUCCUUUUCUGAUUUUUCUUUUCUAAAGUGCAAUUGAUAUUUUAAAUGUUUUUCUAUUUAAUUUUCCUUUCUUAAUGACACAUAAAAUGGUUCAGUGCACAAUUAAUUACUCUCACCUUAGAUUUCAUUCAUCUCAUUCCAUUUCCACACUCAAAUCAUUCUCACAUUUGUUUCUACCUGUUUCACAAAGUUUUAGUUAAAAUAUGGAAAUUAAUGUUCAAGAACCCUACUUAAUAUUAAUAUUCAACAAUUUAAAAUAUUAAAAUGCAAAUUAAUCUUUCUUAAUAAUGUCAUUUUUAUGUAAAAAAUAAAAUGUAGUUUAGUCAUUUAUACUUAGAUGGAUAAAGAUGGUUUUAGAAAAAAAAAUGCAUUUUAUUUCAAAGGUUAUCUAAGCUCUGAACUCAUUUAUGAAUUAAUAAUAAUAAAUAAUAUGUAAUUGUAUUCCAAUACCAUAUAAUUUUUUUUAUUGGGUGCGUUUCUGAUGAAUUAAUUAAUGCACUCUAGGGACAAUGAUCGCUCUAGUAUUUGAUUUUUUUAUUUAUUUUAAUGUUGAAAUUAUAGCUAUUUAGUACAGAUACUAUUGACACCGACACAGAUACGACACAGACACAGAGAUACUUAAAAUCUCUAAAAUGUAAGAUACAGAGACAUUAAUCUAUAUAUUAUAUAAUUAUGAAUUAUAUAAAUUAACAAUAAAGACUUAUGUGCACAAGUAUUUUGGAGAUUAUUUUUUAAGCAGAAAUAUGUUUUUCAUGACUGUUUCACAAAGAUUUGUUUCUUAUUUUUAUAAUCAUAAUAACAAUUUAUACCAUAAAGUUUGAAUUUUAGAAAAUUAAUGUAUUUUUUCUUUUUAAAAUUCCGUUAGAAUCGUACUAAAAUUGUAAAAAAUCUAACAAAUACAUUUUGAAUUGGACAUUUCACAAAUACAUGUCCUACCAGUAUCAUACGAAUGUAAACAAAAUUCUUUCUUCAUAUGCCGCAUUCUUUUACUGUGAUAACUCAUUUCAACUCUCUCACAACUGAUUCGUAAUCUGUGGGAUGCAUUAAAGCCUUUUGCAGUUAAAUCAAUAGUAUAUGAUGAUGUGAAUGUUAUUUAUAUACUAAAUAUAAUCACAUAGUAACUUCAAAUUUGAUAAGGUACAACAUGUUACCAUAUCUCUUUUAAUUUCUUUUAUUUCAUUAUAUAUUUAGGUGUAUUUAAUUUCUUUUUAUUUCAUUGUGUAUUUAGGUGUAUUACGUAAAAUAUAUAAUUAAAAAGAAAGAAGAAUAAUGUUAUUUUUAAAUUUAAAGAAUGACAUAUAGAAAUAAACAAGCUAUUUUGAAAUUUUUAGAUUUUACAAAACAUUACAUUUUGAUUUUAAUAUUUAUAAAAUAUUUUUUAAUUUCAUAUUUAAAACACAACACUUAGUUGAGUGUGUUCCUUAGUUACUUACCAAAUAACAACAUACAUCUUAUCGGGUCUUUUUGCGACCCGACCCAAACUCAUCUCGAUCCUAGUAGGGUUCGCAUCAUCUUCAAUUGAGGAGUAGAUUUGUCAGGAGGAAAAUAAAUUGAUUUAUAAGAACAUGUGAAGUUGUUUAGAUUGAGGAAUAAUAGAUGGAUUUUGAUUAUGAUUUAUGGUAAGUUUAAAAAAAAUAGAUUUGUUUCUUUUAACAUUUUUUGUAUUAUAAUUAUUUGCUGGCUGAAUUGUUUUGAGUUAACAUGUUUUCUUGGGGUAUGAUAUUGUGAGGUUUUAUUACAUGCAGGUACGUGAAUAUUUUUUUUAUUCUAGUUGUAUAAAUCAGGAAAAAAUGUUUUUCACAAUAUAAUUAUAAUAACCGUUUAACAACCUAAAUAAUAAUAAAAUAUUAACUCAUAUUAUUUAAUUAAAUUAUUAAAUAAAAAGUAGUAAAACUGAUUGUAGGAUGGGAAUAUGAUUAUUUUUAACUGCUAGCUCCUCAUUAUUCUUUUAUAAUAAAAAACACACUAGUAGGUGUUGAAAAUCGUAAUAUAACAAACAAGUUUUGACACACGUAGGUUUGGCAAUUGUUUUAAUAGCUGAAAAUAGUAAAACAAUUUUUAAUUACCACAAACUGCAUCUUAAAUCAUAAAAAAUAGCAUUUUUUAGUUCAUAUAUAAUAACAUUUCCAUAAAUAAAUCUCCCGCCGCCAUUGAUAUUAAUCAUUAAUAAUUUUAGAUAAUAUUUUUUACUAUAAAACAUUUAAUUGAGAUUGAAUUUUUAAUUCACACUUUUUGGUCAAAGAAUAAUAUAUUUCAUUUUUUUAUUUAUUAAAUAUUUUGUAUAAUGCUGAGAAAAAAAAAUCUCACACACACACACACAUAUAUAUAUAUAUGAUCCCUAUGUCCUACAAGUACAAUAUAACAUCGUUAGUAUAAUGAAUAAAAAUAAUGAGUAUUCAAAGUCGUGUAUUUACGUAAAAGAAUAACAUGAUUUUUAAAAGAACUCACAUUAUCAGUUUAAAUUUUGACGAUAAAAUACAUUAAUUAUAUAUAUUUAUUCAAAAUUUCAAUUAUAUUAUGCAUUAAUGGUUUUAUGCUUUUAGAGGAAUCAGAGAAACUUAGAAAAGCUUAAUGAAACCCUAUGAAUAAAGGAGAUGUAAAAGAAAGAGAAAAAGGAAGUGAGAAAAGAUGAUAAUUAAUAAACACCCACUCUUCAUAACAUAGAGUCUUUAAACCUAUAUUCCCUCAAACAGCAUUUAUAAGUUAUUAUCACCCACAUGGAAUAAGGUGCCUCAAUGUGAACAAACCAAGAUCAGUAAGAAAUAUGAGGUUCAAAUAACGAAGCUGAGAAUUUUCUGGUUUUACAGCUCCAUGCACAAACCUAAUACAAUGAUAUGAUAUUCCAUAGGAUGGAGAAAAGUAUGAUAUGAAGAGGAUUUACCAAUUACCCUUUCGAAUGCAGCUCCUCAGGAUUCCAUCAUGCCUUCACUGCACAUGCAACCCAAAUAUGCUAAAGAAGUUAAUCAAACCCAAAUAUAAAGAAUUUCUAGAGAAUGCAACUCUGGGACAACAGAGUACCCCAUCUCAAGCUGAACAGAAACAUUAAACUAUAUCUAACAAUAACUUAGAAAUCUUUGUCAACAAUGAACGAAUCCAACCGUAAAAUGCCAUUGAAAAUGUAAAUAAAACAAAAUAAAUUAGAUAUGAGAAAUUCAUGAUAAAAUUUCAACACUUGUAAUGUAGAAGCAUUACGAUAAGCCAGUUUUGAUCCUCACCAAUGAAAGUCUAAUUAGCAGAAGAGGAAGAGACUAGUUGACUGGGUAGCUUUCUGCAAUGCCUAUUUUAAGGUUACGCUUCCGGCAAAAAUAUAAUAGAAGACUGCUCUCAUGUCAAAGUUUCUCAUACAUAGAACAACCCGCAAAAGAGAUUAAACAUUCCAAAAGAUGUCUCAACAGAAAUGAAAUGAGAUCCUAACAACUUGUUGGGAAAGUACUAUUUUGCCUUCAAUUCCAUUACUUCCUUUUGCCUUUAAGAGUGCAGUCAUAAUCAUCAAAAUACUUAGACUUUGUGAUAUGUCUUUUGGGCUUGCUAUUCAUCUUUUGUUGCCUCCUCUUGAGCCAUAACACUUUUGGCCUUCCUCUUCCUAUAUUCCCUUGUGUCUCUUGAAGACUGUGCAACAUUACUUCGACUGGAUUAUUCAAUGUGAACAGCACCACCAUAUUCAUCAUCUUUCUUUUUGGAAUAAAGAGGGCAUAUGCCGCAUUCUUUUACUCUGAUAUCGGGCCACCAAUGGCUGAUCUCAAAAGUGAAGCUGCGAGCAUCACAGAGCCUAAGGCUCAUGCCGCUUGCCCUUAGGGACUCCAAGUUAAAUUUCCACACAAAUGUGUGAUCUUUAUCAAGAAAUCUGCCUGCAUCCGUCAAGUUUAACACAUCAUUAUUUGGAAUGAUCUGUGUGCCAUCAUCAUCAGAUUCAAAUUUUAGGCUGUAACCAAAAGAACUAUAUCUACCUUUAAUAUCAUUCGUAUCUAACACUUCAAAAACCACGCACAAAGAGAAACCAGUGAGCCUAUUAUCGCUGCAAAAACUUAAAUCUUCAUUUAUAGUCACUGAAUGUCCCUUCCCACGAAAAUGGAACCAACCAGGAACUGCACUCCCUGGAUAACAGAAGAACACAGACCUAUAUGCAUCGUCGGUCAUCCUAAGCCUUGCAUCCUUCUCAAUGUUAGCACGACCACCUGAAUCCAGUUGUUGAGCAUUGGUGAAAUGAAAUUUGAAUACACCCUCUUUGGAAUUUGAGAGGUUCCGAACAAGAGAAUUUGACAUCACUUUUCUAAUGGAUGGGCAAUCCAAUGCCACGAGUUGUUUUAGAAAUGGUGGAAUCGGUGGGAUGCAUUCAAGCUUUUUGCAGUCGCUUAAAUCAAGCGAUUUCAAGCUCGAAAGAUGAGCAAUGCUCUCAGGAAGGUUCACGAUUCCGCUAUCACGCAGUGACAGUUCCAUUAAUGACGUCAAACGACCAAUGUGCCUUGGGAUUUCUGUUAAUUUGGCACACCCCGAACAAUCAAGUUUAGAGAGAAGCUUCAGAUUAACAAUGCAGUUUGGAAGUGACUCGAGAUCAGUGCAUUUGCGGAGCUCCAGGGAACGAAGAUUAACGAAAUUGGCAAAUGAGGAAGGCAGUUCUUUAACAGUCGUAGAUGUUAAGUUAAUGUGAGCAAAAGUAUGAGCCGACUCCGUGAUCUCUGGGAAGGUCCUCAGCCUUGAGCAACCACGCAAAUCAAGGUUCCUCAACUUCAAAUUGAAAAUGGUGCUUGGAAAAGUUUGAAGUGAAUUACAGUGGGCAAGGUCUAACUUGCAUAGUCUGGUGAGGCUUCCAAUGGAAGAUGGAAUAAUCUCAAGAUUGAAGCAACUGUGCAAACUCAGUUGUUGAAGCCCUACCAAACGGCACAAGGAUGAAGGUAGUGCCUGUAUGGCUGUGUCGUCUAAGAUGAGCACCGCUAGAUCUUCCAACGUGUCCUGAAUCUCGGGUAAAUUUUCCAGUUUUGAGCAACCACUGAGACAAAGUUGCUUUAGGAAUUUCAUAUCAGAAAGGUCAAACGGAAAGAUUGUAAGGGAAGAACAGUCAGAGAGAUCUAAGUAACAGAGGUUCUUGAGACUUUGAAAGUUUAAGGGCACACCUUCCAAGAGACUGUUGAACACCUCUGAGUCUUCUGAGUCUGUAGCAUUAUUAGCCACUUCUAUAUUAUAUCUGUCAAAAGUAAUUGACAAAAUUUCACUGCUUGGGGAAAUUUCACUGGAAGUUGGGAAAUUUAUCUCUUUCGUCAUAUCCAGUUCCUGACGCUCCAGUAUGACAUGAGGGAGAAAUUUAUCUUCAUGUUUACUGAUUGAAAACAUAUUAAGCUUCCGACAAUGGGAAAGAGUAAUCCAUCCUGGUGAUGUGGAUAAAAUGUUGCUCGGAAUAUUUACACUAUUCAGAUCAUCACAAUGAUCUAAACAUAAACAACUGAGUUUGCUGAGGAAUAUCGAAGAGUGAAUUUCAAUCAACUUUUUACAAUAACUCAGAAUUAUUUUUUCAAUAUUUGGUGACAUAGAAAGGUCUGGUAUUCUAGCAAGUUUCCAAGAACGUGUCAGGUCGAGCCUUUUCAAGUUGGGUAAAUUCUGCCACAAAAAGUAAAUGAAUCAGGUAACAAAUAAUAACUACUUUAUCUAUUUUUCUUCCUAUUUAAACUAUUAGCUACUACUAUUGAGUUUAUAUUUUACAUUACUUAAAAACCACUGUUAAAAAAGCCACACUGUGGACUAACAAAAUUAUAUUUUAAAAUAUUAUUAAAGAUAAAAUAUGAAGAUAGGGUAAUUAAAUUAAAUAUAAUUUUUAUUUUUCAGAAAUGAUGAAAAUUAUAAUUAAAUUAACUAAAUUAUAUAAAAUUCCAUUUUAUUUACAUAACUCCUUUUCAUAUUAAAAAACUAUAUAAGAUCUUGAAACUAUAAUUAAUAUCUUAAAAAUUUAAAUAAUAAUAAUUAUUUCUACUCAUCCUUAAUUUUUGUUGGUGAAAUCUUGAUUUUUGGGAUAAUAUCACUUAAACUUAAGAAAUAUUUGACAUUAAUGAACUCUAAACAAAUUUAUAUAAGAAAUCAAGACAUCACUUUCAAUCCGAAAUCUUAAACUAAUAGGUUUAUGGAUUUUCUUUAUAUGUUGUUCAUCUUACCAAUUUGAACCCAAUGCGAGACUUUCAACUCUAAGAGAUGAAGUGGUGUACUUUAUGCUUCUAGGACUUGUUAGAUAUUGAAACAUGUACCAUUGCUAAAAUGUUUGAAUGAAGGAGAAGUCAAAGUCUCUCUCCUUUAGAGAUAUUCGCUCAAGUGGCAAGAGGUUGAUUAAGCAAGAGAGAGAUCGUAUUAAUUCUCUCUUCUAUGCAAUUGUUGUCGUUCAAACAAUGUGGAAUCAUUCAAGCAAAGAAAUCUUCUUUUGGGUUAGGAAACAAGGUUUUUCAAGCGAGAUAAACUCGUCUAAAGAAUUUAACUCUAGUAGUGAAAUGUUGUUGCCAUGAUUUAGCCAAGUGUUUGUAUCUAUGAGGCUAAUGAUGAUGAUGACGAUGAUAAGAUGCAUGAAUGUGUAUACACAAGUGUAUGAUAUACCUCAUGUUAUAUAUUGUAUGUGAUUCAAUUGAUGACCAUUUAUUUUUAGGCCAUUUAUAUGUAUAUUUUGGCCCUUUUAUGAGUAUGUGACGAGAUAUACCUAAGAUUGUAUUAUGAUCCUAAUGAGUCGAAGUAUCAAACACAAAACUCAUUAUGGAAAAAAAAAGAUAUUUUGUGCAUCAGUUAUGAUAUGAUCACAACAAUUAAAGCAUGUGUGAACGGUUAAUAUUGUUCUUAAUAAGAAAACAAAUAAUAUUGUAUGUGACAUUAGAGAUGUCAAAUAGGUUUAGAAAAUUAUUAAGUUUAAUUAUCUUUUUAGUCUUUAUAUUAAUGACCAAAAGUCAAUUCAGAUUUUUAGAAAGUUCAAUAUGAUUUAAUUUUUUAAAAAACAAUUCAAUGUGAUUCCUUCUAGUAUAUUUCCCUUAUUAAAAUAUUUUUAUCUUAAUGAUUCUGCCACUGUUAAGUUAUAUGUGUUGUUAUCACAUUGAAUUGUUUUAAAAAAAUUUGGAACCACCACAUUAAAUUGUUUUAAAAAGUUAGUACUAAAUUGAACUUUUGAAAAUUGGGAGAAUGAAAUUAAAUUUUGUCUAUUAAUACAGGGACAAAAAAUAAUUGAAUCAAAUAUUUUACUAUUUUUGUGAUGUAUAUUUAUAUAUAAAUAAUUUUGAGAAUUUAGAGUUACAAUGUGUUAUAUCAUAUAUAUAUAAUUCUUUUUGGUAAUGUAUCCUGUAGUUGUAAGCAAGUAUGAUUAUAUUAAGUGGGGCGUUUCAAAUAGUGGAGACUACGCAUAUACAAAUAUCUCUUAUAAAGUAAGAAAACAAAACAAUCGUUACUCAAGAAGAUCAUGCAAUGCAUCACAGACAACAUGGGAGAUAUAUAUCAACAAUAAUAUGAGUAAAUAAUACAUUCAUGGGCCAUUAGACGAUAUGCCUAAAAAAAAUAUGCAAACUAUUAAAUUUAUAAUUAUUUUUAAUUAGAAACAUGCUGAGUAUGACUCUUAUGAUAUAUGUAUAACUGUGUGCUUCAAAUAAAAGAAAUUUCAAAUCGAAUAAUGUGGAGAAGGCACAAAGGAAUUGCAAAUGAAAACCUGUAGAUGUAUAAUACACAAAACAUGCUUGUCUAAUUUAUUUUUAUCUUUGAAAGUUUAGAACACAAAGGAACAUAGAUAACUUGAAAAACCUGAUCUCCUUCCCAGAGUUGUUCAAGAUCGCAGUAUGGCAUUUCGAGGAUCACUAGAUUUUGUGGGCAAAAGUUUGGAGGCCAGAAUCUUUGAAGGAAACCGUUCCAAUAAAGAAACUUUAGAGUGUCCGGCAGACCUACAAGAGAUGAUUCAAGAGACACUUUUGAAUUCAAUCUAGGCAUGUAGACCAUAAGCAUCAUAAGAUUGUCCAUCUUUUCGAAACUUUGUGCAUGUACUACAGCAUCUUUUACUUUGUUCGUAUGAUAUUGAUAUACACUGUAUUGCAUCUGACCCCUGAAAGUAAAUCAAUGUAAUUAGAAAAAAAAACAUGAAAUGUUGCAUUUCAGGAUGCUUAAUGACAGCUCAGUAGUUUUCUAUUUUUCACAAAGUAACAACAGCAUAUACCUUGUUCUUUCUUAAAACCUCACAAAUUUCCUCAUCAUUAAACAAUCGGCUGCGUUUUCCAGGAUGCUGAGGACACUCUUUACGAACAAUUUCUUUACCCAUUUCUUGUAUUAGAUCGUGCAUCACAAUUCUACCAUCAAAGACAGAGAUUAGACCCCUAUCUUUGAGAAUAUCCAUUCCAAUCUUAGAAGAGAAACCACAGUCAUCAAGUGUUUCUGCUACCACAGUCUCCUCUUGCCCUCUAUAAAAGCAAGCUAUGUCAAGAAAUAUAUUCUUCUCCUCCUCCUUGAGCCCAUAAUAACUUAAUUUUAAUACGUCGAAAGUUCCAAGAUCUUGGCCGUUUUCCAACUUUUGCAACUGACUCUCCCAUGCUUCUCUUGUUCUGCCAUAAAGCAAUGACCCCAAAAUCUGGAGAGCUAACGGAAUUCCUUUUGCAUAUCUCAACACCUUUACUGACAGGUCCAUGUAAGCAAUUCCUUCUGAAGAUUUUUGUUUAAAAGCAUGUAAACUAAAAAGUUUCAGAGAAUCAUAAAAAUUCAACUCCUUAACUUCGUAGAUAUCAUCAGCUCCAGCAUUCUUAAGCACUUGUCUGUCUCUACUGGUCAUAAUGAUUCUACUGCCCUGCCCAAAACUAUCACUCCCACCUAUUAAUUUUUGAAGUUGAGUUGAAUCGGUAACAUCAUCAAGAAUGAGGAGAACCUUUGUCCGUUUGAGCCUUUCAUUGUAAUAUGGUAAAUAAGAGGAUUUCUCUUCCUUUAGAAGCUCAGACUGAUAUUUUGUUCUGAUACCGUCUAUUCCAUCUCUUUGUAUUUUUUCUUGAACGUCUAAAACAAGGCUGCUGGAAUCAAACUGCAAUGCCAAUUUCUGAUAUAUUUGAUCACAAAUUGUAGUUUUUCCUAUUCCUCCCAUGCCACAAAUUCCUAUGAUCCGAACAUCCGUUGACUCAAGAUGCAACAAGGACUGAAUUCCUUCAAUAUUUUUUUCAAUGCCGAUGAUUCCUUGAUCAUAACUGGCGGAAUAACGAUUCAAUUUUCUCAAAAUAUCUUCCACAAUUUCUUCAACAAGUGCGUGUUCUGGCCUGGCAGAUGAUUUAGAAAAUAAAGUAUAAGUAUUCAAGCACAAAAGCUAAAGUAAACUAAAGAAAAAUUUUACAGUAACCGUUUGUGACUUCUGAUACUAGGGAGCAUACUUGUAGGUACAAAGUUAAGCUAUUGUGUGAUAUGGUUCAGAUCUAUGACCGACUAAUAGAAAUGAAAAAAGAAGCACUUGAUUUAUGGUGAGAUGAACACAAUUUUAGUAAAUGAAAAGAGAUCCUGAUUAUCUAAUAAAUAUAAUGACCUGGUGACUUUUGAAUCCCAGCCUGCAAGUCCAGCAGCUUCGGUGAGAGCAUCCUUCCAUCCUUGCACUGUGUCGUGCUUAAAGUGCUGCUCAUGCUCAUUGAAUGCUUCUUUGUAUCUUUCUUCCUGCUUCCUAAUAGUUGAUGGAUCCACCUUGUAGAAAACAGGUAUCACAUCCCUUCCAUAUCUCUUCUUGCAAUCAAGUAUCUUAGUGAGUUCAUCCAAGCACCAUGUGGAAGAUGCAUAGUUUUUGGAGAAAACGAUGACAUAAAUCUUUGAUUCUUCUAUUGCAGAGAGGAGUACAGGUGAAAUUUCUUGGCCCCUGAGUAAUCUGUAAUCAAUAUAUGCUUGAAUGUUCUUCCUUUGCAGCGCUGCAUAAAGGUGACUAAUGAAGUUGUCACGUGUGUCUUCCCCUCUGAAGCUGAGAAACACAUCAUGCUUUGUUAAAGAAGCAGACAUGGCCAAUGAUGAAGGGUUUCAAUGUUCUCUGCAACUCUCAGAUCCCUUUGUUUGUAAGCAACUUCCAUAUAUUCUAUUAGGAAGGAAAAUAUAUAUUUCUACCAUUCCUACCACAAAUUGAAAAAGCCUUUCAAUUUUCUCAAAAUAUCUUUCACAGCUGUGUUCUGUCAGAUACGAAACAUUGAGUCAAUGGAAGAGUCAACAAUUGGCAGAAUAUUAUGGUGUGUAGCUUUAUACCAUUCUUACAAUAUUUGAUUGGUUGAAUAUAUACAAUAUGACUAAUGAACUUUUUUCUUUUCCGUAUUCCACGAUAAUUCCCUAGGCACCCUAUUAUACACUUUCUUAUCAACGGAAACCAUGUCUGUCCUUUUAUAGUUUUAAUCCUAUAAUAUCUUUCCAUUAAUCAUCAUUAUCACUCUUCAACCUUCAUAUCAAGUGUAUUGAUUUCAUACUUCAUCAGCUAGACAUAAUAAAAUCUCAAUAAUCUUUUAUACUGUCAACAUUUAUAAAAAAUAUUUCCUUCAAUAAUAUUUGUACUUUCUAGCAUAUAGAAUACUUAAUGGAUUCUUCUGUGAUUUUUCUUUCCUAAAGUACAAUUGAUAUUUUAACAGAUGCCGAAAGGUCUUGAAUAUGAGGCUGUUUCGAAAUGAAAAUUGGGGUAAAGCAUUUUCAAGUUAACAAGUUUUGUUGGGUGAGUGAGUGAUCAGUGCUAGCAUUUUCAAUCUCAGUUAUAGAAUGUAAAGAUUUACACAUUUAUUUGCUGAUUAAUAAUUUAUUUAUUGAAUUAAAUGUUUUAACAGUGAGUAUGGAUUCUUGAAUGAAUGUAAUCAUGGUGUAGAAUGUACAUAGUACAUAUAGUGAGUUGGAUUGAAAUGUUGAACACGUUUUCCUCUGCAAAGAUUCAGGAUAUUUAUGAACUUGCUAUAAAUUGUUUUAACUUUUCUCUGCAACUCUCAGUCCCUUUGUUUCUACCAUUUUGUUUUUGAAAAGCCUUUCAAUUUUCUCAAAAUAUCUUUCACUGCUGUGUUCUGUCAGAUACGAAACAUUGAGUCAAUGGAAGAGUCAACAAUUCGUAGAAUAUUAUAUUAUGGUGUCAAUAUUUAAUAAAUUUAUUUAUUUCUUUAACAUAUUUUAGAAAAUAACCAGUAAACAUAAAACUUUUAGUAUGACUAAAAGAAUAAAGAUAGUGUAAGAAUAACAGGAAUAACAUUACUACAAAUAACAAUAUAUUAAUAUUAAUAUGUUUCUUAAUAAAUUUUACACCCACUGUCUAUUUAUAAAUUAAUAUAUUAUAAACAUCUAUUGAUUUUUUGUGGGUAGCUUAUUUCUGUAACAUUUUAAAUUAAUUUUUUAGAUUUUACAAAACAUUACAUUUUGAUUAUAAUAUUUAGGACUGUGAUGCAAUUUCUGCAAUGAAGGCUGGCAGACUAAGUUUCUCCAAGCCCAAUUAAUACUGGGUUGAAAAUUCUGAGAAGAGGGUGAGUAUGAUGCUGCGGUCAUGAUCUAUGUAUUAAAGUGUUAAGGCAUGGGUUUGGUUGACAGGACAAUACUGGUUUUUCAUUGCUACUACUUAAUAUGAUUCUUUCUUACUGCUAUAUGAAUUUGCUGUCAAAUAGCAGUAAAUAAAAGACUUCAAAUAAAGCAUGUGUUUAUCAUACAUGGACUAAUGCAGCAGUUUUAGUAGAAGGGGCUAAUAUGAUUUUAAUCUAGAACAAGAUGGCUAAACCCAAAGAUGGUGGGAAUAAUAUCCUCAAAUCAAUUGUUUUGGUUUUCAGUGUAAUGUCAUUUGUAAGUAUCAAAAUUUGUUUGUUAUCACAUUGGAAGGUAGUAUCUGUCAUGAAAUUUGUGGAAGACCUUUACCUAUGUUUGCUUUGGGUCUGUUUUACGCCCUCUCGAAUUAAGUAAAUUUUUAAUUGCCAUCAUGAAAUUAGGCUAAAUAUGUGUAGUUUUGAGCACUUUCUUUCUUCCAUUUCAAUUCAUAGUUUCAUACAUAUUCAAUAUCAUGUGGGAAUUAAGUUCUUGCUUUUAAGGUGAAUAACAGUUUGUAUUCUUGCAGAAAACUAUUUUCUAAUGCAUAUAAAUUUCAUUUUCUAUUUUCAGCAUUGGAUUAUGUUAUGUAAUUUUUCCUUUGUAUUAUACAGAGUAGGAUUUUAAUGUUUCUACUGAACAGUGCUAUCUUUUUUCGUCCAUAUUCUGAUUUUGUUCAAUUUUUUUCAGUAUGUGCCACAUGCAGAUCAGAUGUAAGGAAUUUUCUAAAUUUUUUUUCAAGCUUUCUUGUUUGCUUAAAGUUUUCUGUAAGUAUUUAACUGUCUUAAGUUGUUAAUGAGGACUAAGGACUGAAAAAGAGAAUUAGCCAUGACAUGGUGGCAUUAUCCUUCUUCAAAACCAUUAGUUUUUUUUCCUACAAAGAUACAUGUCAAGAAAGCAAACCAGGAACAAAAGUGAUGUUUAUGAUUGCUUUCUCUCUUGUUUACUUGCUUUCUUUUUGUUGGACAAUUGUCUUAAUUGCAUUCACACCUAACCUGCAGUAGUUUCAGUCCCUUUGGGGUUGUCAUAAUUGCAGCCUCAAGAGUGGUGGUGUAGUCCAACAUCAACCAGUGAUAUAGUUCAAAUAUAGCAUAUACAUGAAAGUCGUGUUGAUAAUCAAAGGUUGCUUCAUCUUAACUAAUAACAUGUAAAUGUCAUUUGAAUGGUUAAAAAGGAAUUCACCAGUGUAACACAAAAUGAAUGGAUUGCUUGGUUAUGUGUCAACUGUUGUACUUUUUUUGAGUUGCUUGAAAAUAAUUAAAAUUUGUUUUCAUCUAGAUCUUGGUUUUUUCCUAUGAUCAAAUCUCGAUUUAUUUCUGUGCAGAACUUUCUUGUGGACAUAAAAGGACCAGCUAUAGCAUUUUUACCGGUGCUUGCAUUUGAAGGAGGAACUAGAAGAAAUAUACCUAGGUUUGAGGUGUGUAUAAAUUAUUUUUGAUGUAUUUCGUGAUGUAGAUGUAAAAUAAUGCAAUACUUUGUUUUUAGUUUCAAUGUUACUCUUUAUCUGCAGGUUGGAAACAUAUCUUGAUGAAAUAUAGAAACAUUUUUAUUCAUAAUAUAUAUAUAAGGAUUACACAUUCAUAAUUAUUUCUUUCUGUCGUAGCAUUGUCUACCUCAAAUCACUGCAACUUUCUGUUGUUGGUAUAAAAAUACAAUAUUUUAAUCCCAGUUUUGAUAGCCUCUAUUCUUCAGUGGUUGAGAUAUUUUUUAUAAGAAUUUAGAAGUUCUGAGAUAUUUAUGAUAAGAAUUUCAAGUUCUUUGUUACUAGCAGUUUAAUGGUUAUAUCAUUUUUGUUCUCUGGAAAAUAUCUUAUACAAAAUCGGUACUUAGAUUUGGUAUUUAUAUUGUUCAUAUGUAGAAAUCUAAUACUAGCAAAUUUUGUCUAAUUUAAAAGCAAUUACAUUCUACUCUUUGGAAUAUGUUCUGGCCUGCUUUUAUGAAUUAUUUGAAAAUUUGUAAUUAUAAAAUUUAGUCUUUGAAAUUAUAAAUUUAAUAGAGAAGCAUCCAUACUAAACUUUUAUAUUAUAAAUUGUCAGUUUUAUAUUGAAAACAUAUCCCCUUUAGUAUAAGACUUAAAGGAGAUGUCUUUUGGUAUAAAAACUGAAAUAAAAAAUAUUUUAACUAUAUGGGUCAAAUGGAUGAUUAAACUUAUAAAAUGUACAAUUAAACUUAUAAAUUAUAAUAAACGAUACUUUAAUUUUAAACUAUAUUGAACUUUUAUUAAUGUUCUCGCUUUUCUUUAAAAGCUAUUGAACUCUAUCUAACAAUAACUUAAAAAUGAGAAAUUCAUGAUAAAAUUUCAACACUUGUAAUCUAGAAGUAUUACGAUAAGCCAGAAGAGGAAGAGACUAGUUGACUGGGUAGCUUUCGGCGUUCCUCUUCCUAUCUUCCCCUGUUUCUCCUGAAGAGUGUGCAACAUUGCUUCCACUGAAUUCUUCAAUGUCAUUUUCUGAUGCAGAAUAGUCAACAGCACCACCAUAUUUAUCAUCUUUCUUUUUCGUAUAAAGAGGGCAUAUGCCGCAUUCUUUUAUUCUGAUACCUGAUUUCAACUCUCUCUCAACUGAUUCGUAAUCUGGCCGAUUUGGCCGCAGAAAGGGAUCAUACGGACUGAUCUCAAAAGUGAAGCUGCGAGCAUCACACAGCCUAAGGCUCAUGCCGCUCGCCAUUAGGGACUCCAAGUUAAAUUUCCACACGAAUGUCCCUUCACCAUCCCAUUUGAAAUAGCUAUUUAACACACCCUUAUAUGGAAUGAUCUGUGUGCCAUCAUCAUAUUCAAAUUUUAGGCUGUAACGAAAAGAACCAUAUCCACCUUUAAUAUCUAACACUCCAAAAGCUACACACAAAGCGAAACCAGUGAGCCUAUCAUCGCUGCAGAAACUUAAAUCUUCAUUUAUAGUCACUGAAUGUCCCUUCCCACGAAAAUUGAACCAACCAGGAACUGCACUCCCUGGAAAACAGAACAACACACACCUAUAUGUAUCGUCGAUCAUCCUAAGCCUUGCAUCCUCCUCGAUGUUAGCACGAGCACCUGAAUCCAGUUGUUGAGCAUUGGUGAAAUGAUAUUUGAAGACACCCUCUUUGGAAUUUGACAAGUUUGGAACAAGAGAAUUUGACAUCACUCUUCUAAUGGAUGGGCAAUCCAAUGCCUCGAGUUGUUCUAGAAAUGGUGGAAUCGGUGGAAUGCAUUCAAGCUUUUUGCAGUCGCUUAAAUCAAGUGAUUUCAGGCUUGAAAGAUGAGCAAUGCUCUCAGGAAGGUUCACGAUUCCGCUAUCACGCAGUGACAGUUCCAUUAAUGACGUCAAGCGACCGAUGUGUCUUGGGAUUUCUGUUAAUUUGGCACACCCCGAACAAUCAAGUUUAGAGAGAAGCUUCAUAUUAACAAUGGAGUUUGGAAGUGACUCGAGAUAAGUGCACUCUUGGAGUUCCAGGGAUCGAAGAUUAACCAAAUUGCCAAAUGAGGAAGGCAGUUCUUUAACAGCCGUACAUGUCAAGUCAAUAUGAGCAAAAGUAUGAGCCGGCUUCAUGAUCUCUGGGAAGGUCCUCAGCCUUGAGCAACCACCCAAAUCAAGCUUCCUCAAUUUCAAAUUGAAAAUGGUGCUUGGAAAAGUUUGAAGUGAAUUACAGUAGGUAAGGUGUAACUUGCAUAGUCUGGUGAGGCUUCCAAUGGAAGAUGGAAUAAUCUCAAGAUUCAAGCAACUGUGCGAACUCAGUUGUUGAAGCCCUACCAAACGGCACAAGGAUGAAAACUUAUUUUAUUUUUGCUGUUCAUGCAUAACAUUAACAAAUAUUGACAUGAGAGAUUGUGUUUGUAGGCUUCUAAGCUCACCAACGUGUCCCGUUCUUGAUGCUUUAGGGAAGAAAAUUUCCUUUGAGAUUGCAAAAGGACUCAGGAGAAUUUAGAAGUUCUGAGAUAUUUAUGAUAAGAAUUCAAGUUCUUUGUUACUAGCAGUUUAAUGGUUAUAUCAUUUUUGUUCUCUGGAAAAUAUCUGAUACAAAAUUGGUACUUAGAUUUGGUAUUUAUAUUGUUCAUAUGUAGAAAUCUAAUACUAUAGCAAAUUUUAUCUAAUUUAGAAGCAAUUAUAUUCUACUCUUUGGAAUAUGUUCUGGCCUGCUUUUAUGAUUGUAAUUAUAAAUUUAAUAGAGGAGAUUACCAAACAUCCAUACUAAUUAAACUUUUAUAUUAUAAAUUUUUUCAGUUUUAUAUUGAAAACAUAUCCCUUUAGUAUAAGACUUAAAGGAGAUGUCUUUUGGUAUAAAAACUGAAAUAAAAAAUCUUUUAACUAUAUGGGUCAAAUGGAUGAUUAAACUUAUAAAUGUACAAUUAAACUUAUAAAUUGUAAUAAACGAUACUUUAAUUUUAAACUCUAUUGAACUUUUUUUAAUGUUCUCGCUUUUCUUUUAAAUGCAUUUCACUUGUGUGUUUUGUAUUCAGGCUGAUUUUAACUUUAUUCUCAAAUAUACAAAAUAAUUUUUGGUAAUUAUCUUGUGUCGAUCUUGACUUGUAGUAUCAAUGUGAAAUAUGUAAUAAUUACUUUUCUAUGAUUCAGAGGGAAAAUUAUUCCAACUAGACUUUUACAAAUAUAUUUCAAGUGGUAAUAUGAUUUUAAAAAAAAUAGGAUUCGCCACAAAAAAAAGUUACUGUUCCUAAUUGACAUGGUGCUGUCAAAAUUAUUUAAUUACAAUUUAGAUCUUCACUCUACAUAUAAUUAAUUAAUUACCAAUUAUUUAAAAGACUAGUAAAUUAUAAUUUUAAUCUCUCUACAACUUUCUAAAUUUAGUUAUGAUUCUCUCAAAAAAAUUUCCCUUAAAUAUUAAUUAUAAUUACCUUUAGACAGAAACAUUUCUAAUUUAAACAAGCAAAAAUAAGAAAAAAAAAUAGAUUACAAAAACUAAAUUUGAAUUUUUUUAUAUAACUCCAAAUAUAUUUUAUCCAUAAAUAAAUUCUAUUAAUAUUUCAUUUCUGUUUAAAUAGUUUAUUCAUAUUUGUAAUAUUAUUUUCAAAAAACAAUAAUUGUUUUUUGAAUAAAGGUUUACAAAUUCUAUAAUAAUGUAAAUGAGAAGAGGAGUGAGGGUAAAAAUAUGAGAACCUAUGUGAGGGAAUCUUGUGACAAUUUAGCUGGUGUUCAACUUGUGAGAAGUCUUUCAACUUGGUUUUCAAGUUUUAUAUUCAAUUUCUGUUCCUUCAAAUGUUUCUGAUUUUACAGCUCCUCAGGAUUUUACAGCUCCAUGCACAAACCUAAUACAAUGAUAUGAUAUUCAAUCAGCAUUAAUUAGCAUAAACAGGUACCUUGUUGUAAAACUGGGAAUAUGAGAUUCCAUAGGAUGGAGAAAAGUAUGAAGAGGAAUUACCAAUCACCAUUUACCAAUCAUAAUGCCUUCACUACAAAUGCAACCCAAAUAUGCUAAAGAAGUUAAUGAAACUAUAUAUGAAGAGUUUCAAGAAGAUGCAACUCUGGGACAACAGAGCAACCCAUCUCAUGCUGAACACAAACAUCAAACUACAUCUAACAAUAAUUCAGAAAUCUUAAUCAACAAUUGAGCGAACCCACUCCUAAAAUGCCAUUGAGAAUGUAAAUAAAUCAAAAUACAUUAAAAACGAGAAAUUCUUAAUAAAAAUUCAACGUGUUGAACCUUGUAAUUUAGAAGUAUUAACGAGAAGCCAGUUUAGAUCCUCACCAAUGAAAGACUAUUUUACAGGUUAGCUUCCACUGGAUUCUUCAAUGUGAACAGCACCACCAUAUUUAUCAUCUUUCUUUUUGGAAUAAAGAGGGCAUAUGCCGCAUUCUUUUAUUGUCACAACUGACCACCCAAAGUCAUAAAGAGGACUGAUCUCAAAAGUGAAGCUGCGAGCAUCACACAGCCUAGGGCUUAGGGAUUCUAAGUUAAAUUUCCAGACGAAUGUGUGAUCUUUAUCAACAAAACUGUAUUCACCAUUCCAUUUGAAAUGUCUGUUUAACCUAUCAUUAUUUGGAAUGAUAUGUGUGCCAUCAUCAUCAGAUUCAAAUUUUAGGCUGUAACCAAAAGAACCAUAUCUACCUUUAACAGAAUUCGUAUCUAACACUCCAAAAACCACACACAAAGCGAAACCAGUGAGCCUAUCAUCGCUGCAGAAACUUAAAUCUUCAUUUAUAGUCACUGAAUGUCCCUUCCCACGAAAAUGGAACCAACCAGGAACUGUACUCCCUGGAAAACAGAAGAACACAGACCUAUAUCUAUCAUCGGUCAUCCUAAGCCUUGCAUCCUCCUCAAUGUUAGCACGACCACCUGAAUCCAGUUGUUGAGCAUUGGUGAAACGAAAUUUGAAGACACCCUCUUUGGAAUUUGACAAGUUUUGAACAAGAGAAUUUGGCAUCACUCUUCUAAUGGAUGGGCAAUCCAAUGCCACGAGUUGUUUUAGAAAUGGUGGAAUCUGUGGGAUGCAUUCAAGCUUUUUGCAGUCGCUUAAAUCAAGCGAUUUCAAGCUUGAAAGAUGAGCAAUGCUCUCAGGAAGGUUCACGAUUCCGCUAUCACGCAGUGACAGUUUCACUAAUGACGUCAAGCGACCGAUGUGUCUUGGGAUUUUUGUUAAUUUGGCACACCCCGAACAAUCAAGUUUAGAGAGUAGCUUCAGACUAACAAUGGAGUUUGGAAGUGACUCGAGAUCAGUGCAUUUGCGGAGCUCCAGGGAUCGAAGAUUAACGAAAUUGGCAAAUGAGGAAGGCAGUACUUUAACAGCCGUAUAUGAUAAGUCAAUGCGAGCAAAAGUAGGAGCCCGCUCCGUGAUAUCUGGGAAGGUACUCAGGCUUGAGCAACCACACAAAUCAAGCUUGCUCAAUUUCAAAUUGAAAAUGCUGCUUGGAAAAGUCUGAAGUGAAUUACAGCGGGUGAGGUGUAACUUGCAUAGUCUGGUGAGGCUUCCAAUGGAAGAUGGAAUAAUCUGAAGAUUGAAGCAACUGCGCAAACUCAGUUCUUCAAGCCCUAUCAAACGGCACAAGGAUGAAGGUAGUGCCUGUAUGGCUGUGGCGUCUAAGAUGAGCACCGCUAGAUCUUCCAACGUGUCCUGAAUCUCGGGUAAAUUUUCCAAUUUUGAGCAACCACGGAGAGAAAGUUGAUUUAUGAAUUUCAUAUCAGAAAGGUCAAUUGGAAAGAUUGUAAGAGAAGAACAGUGAGAGAGAUCUAUGUGAGAGAGCUUCUUGCCACUAAAUUGUAAGGGCACACCUUCGUAGUCUUCUGAGUAUUCUGAGUCUGUAGCAUUAUUAGCAUUUAUCUCUUUCAUCAUAUCCGGUUCCUGACGCUCCAGUAUGACAUGAGGGAGAAAUUUAUCUUCAUGUUCACCCAAUGAAAACAUAUUAAGCUUCUCACAACCGGAAACACUAAUCCAUCCUGGUGAUGUGGAUAAAAUGUUGCUGGGAAUAUUUACACUUUUGAGAUUAGAACAAUGAUCUAAACAUAAACAACUGAGCUUGGUGAGGAAUAUCGAAGAGUGAACUUCAAUCAACUUUGAACAAUAACUCAGCUUUAUUUCUUCAAUAUUCGGUGACAGAGAAAGGUCUGGUAUUCUAGUAAGUUCCCAAGAUUUAACCAGGUCGAGCCUUUUCAAGUUGGGUAAAUUCUGCCAGAAAUAGUAAAUGAAUGAGGUAACAAAUAAAAACUACUUUAUCUAUUUUUCUUCCUAUUUAAACUAUUAGCUACUAUCUAUUGAGUUUAUAUUUUACAUUACUUAAAAACCACUGUUAAAAAAACCACACUGUGGACUAACAAAACUCUGCCUAUAAAUUUUAUAGUUAUUAUAAAAAAUCACAAAAUUUAACGUCUUUUUGUUCCCUACCUAAAAUUACAUCCUAAUCAUUUGAACCUAAACUUAUUAUGUAUUCAAAAACUUAUGAUAGUAAUUUAUAAUCGAUCACAAUGUCAAAAUACUUUAUAUUAUACAUGUAUCAACUCACAAAAUAAAUGGUGUUGUCUCAGAUUUAAAAUUAAACCUUAGUUAAAAAGUCCAUCUUUCCAUAAUUUAUUUUAUUAAAUACAUAAUUUGUAAUUUAUUGUAUAUUAUAUUCAAGUUUAUGUUAUGAUAAAAAAAGUAUCUAAGGCAUUUUUAAUUAAAUAAUAUAAAAUAAACAACAUGAACUCAAUUAAAUAAUAUAAAUUUUUUUGAAUACUCGAUGGAAUAAAAAAAUUAAUAAAACCCUCAAUUUGAAAAUAACCAAAUUUAUAAGAUACUUAAAACUUAAUUAAACCUACAAAUUUUCAUUAUAUGGAAUUAAAUAUUGUAAAGAUUUACCACAUAAGUUUCAUAAGUAGAAGGUUUAAACAUAAAAUUCUUCACGUUGGGAGUUUCUUUCCUCUAUCUUAUAAGUUUUCGUUGUUUCUUUAAUAUUUUUUAUAUGGCUUCUGUCAAUGUAAUUUUUUUUUUGGUUUUAAAAUAUUAUUAAAGAUAAAAUAUGAAGACAGGGUAAUUAAAUUAAAUAUAAUUUUUAUUUUUCAGAAAUGAUGAAAAUUAUAAUUAAAUUAACUAAAUUAUAUAAAAUUCCAUUUUAUUUACAUAACUCAUUUUCAUAUUAAAAAACUAUAUAAGAUCUUCCAAAGUAGAUAUAAUACAUUCACGGGCCAUUAGAUGAUAUGCCUAAAAAAAUAUGCAAACUAUUAAAUUUAUAAUUAUCUUUAAUUAGAAACAUGCUGAGUAUGACUCAAAUAAAAGAAAUUUCAAAUCGAAUAAUGUCGAGAAGGCACAAAGGAAUUGCAAAUGAAAACUUGUAUAUGUAUAAUACAGAAAACAUGCUUGUAUAAUUUAUUUUUAUCUUUGAAAGUUUAGAACACAAAGGAACAUAGAUAGCUUGAAAAACCUGAUCUCCUUCCCAGAGUUGUUCAAGAUGGCAGAAUGGCAUUUCGAGGGUCACUAGAUUUUGUGGGCAAAAGUUUGGAGGCCAAAAUCUUUGAGGGAAAUGUGUCCAAUAAAGAAUCUUUAGAGUGUCUGGCAUAUCCACAAGAGGUGAUUCAAAAGACACUUUUAAUUCCAAUCCCCACGUGUAGAGCCUAAGCACCCUAAGAUUGUUCAUCUUUUCGAAACUUUGUGCAUGUACUACAACUUCUUUUACUUUGAAAGUAGAUAGUGAUAUACACUCUAUUGAAGUAGAUAGUGAUAUACACUCUAUUGCAUCUGACCCCUGAAAGUAAAUCAUGAAAUGUUGCAUUGCAGGAUGUUUGAUGACAGCUCAGUGGUUUGCAAUUUUUCACAAAGUAAAUCCAUUCUCAAUUGAGUAACGACAUAAUACCUUGUUCUUUCUUAAAACCUCUCAAAUUUCCUCAGCAUUAAACAAUCGGCUGCGUUUUCCAGGAUGCUGAGGACACUCUUUACGAACAAUUUCUUUACCCAUUUCUUGUAUUAGAUCGUGCAUCACAAUUCUACCAUGAAAGACAGAUAUUAGGCCCCUAUCUUUGAGAAUAUCCAUUCCAAUCUUGGAAGAGAAACCACAGUCAGCAAGUAUUUCUGCUACCACAAUCUCUUGUGACCUAUAUAAAAGCAAGCUAUGUCAAGAAAUAUAUUCUUCUCCUCCUCCUCGAGCCCAUCAUAACUUAAUUUUAAUACAUUGAAAAUACCAAGAUGUUGGCCCUUUUCCAACUUUUGCAACUGACUCUCCCAUGCUUCUCUUGUUCUUCCAUAAAGCAAUGACCCCAAAAUCUGGAGAGCUAAUGGAAUCCCUUUUGCAUAUCUCAACACCUUUUCUGACAGUUCCCUGUAAGCAAUUUCUUCUGAAGAUUUUUGUUUAAAAGCAAGUAAACUAAAAAGUUUCUGAGAAUCAUCAAAAUUCAACUCCUUAACUUCGUAGAUAUCAUCAGCUCUAGCAUUCUUAAGCACUUGUUUGUCUCUACUGGUGAUAAUGAUUCUACUGCCCUGCCCAAAACUAUCACUCCCUCUUAUUAAUUUUUGAAGUUGAGCUGAAUCGGUAACAUCAGUUAGAAGUGGAACACGUUUGUAGAAGUGGAACACGUUAGUUGGUUAGUUGCCUUAAGAAGCGGAUCAUGUAUUUUUUCUUGAACGUCUAAAACAAGGCUGCUGGAAUCAAACUGCAAUUCCAAUUUGUGAUAUAUUUGAUCACAAAUUGUAGUUUUUCCUAUUCCUCCCAUGCCACAAAUGCCUAUGAUCCGAACAUCCGGUAAGUCAAGAUGCAACAAGGACUGAAUUCCUUCAAUAUUUUUUUCAAUGCCGAUGAUUCCUUGAUCAUAACUGAUGGAAUAACGAUUCAAUUUUCUCAAAAUAUCUCCCACAAUUCCUUCAACAAGUGUGUGUUCUGACCUGGCAGAUGAUUUAGAAAAUAAAGUAUAAGUAUUCAUGCACAAAAGCUAAAACAAAACUAAAGAAAAAUUCAGAGUCAAGAAGAGUGAACAUCAUUGAAUAGAUUCACAUAUUGAUUGUAGGACGUUAUCUUCGAAUAUUAGUGUGGUUGGUUUAGAAAUUGCAAAUCAAGAUCGCAGAAAUUCUACAGUAACCGGUAGUGACUUCUGAUACUAGGAAGCAGUCUUGUAGGUACAAAGUUAAGCUAUAAGAUGUGAUAUGGUUCAGAUCUAUGACCCACUACGAAAAAUGGAAAAAAGAAACACUUGAUUUAUGGUGAGAUGAACACAAUUUUAGUAAAUGAAAAGAGAUCCUGAUUAUCUAAUAAAUAUAAUGACCUGGUGACUUUUGAAUCCCAGCCUGAAAGUCCAGCAGCUUCGGUGAGAGCAUCCUUCCAUCCUUGCACUUUGUCGUGCUUAAAGUGCUGCUCAUGCUCAUCGAAUGCUUCUUUGUAUCUUUCUUCCUGCUUCCUAAUAGUUGACGGAUCCACCUUGUAGAAAACAGGUAUGACAUCCCUUCCAUAUCUCUUCUUGCAAUCAAGUAUCUUAGUGAGUUCAUUCAAGCACCAAGUGGAAGAUGCAUAGUUUUGGGAGAAAACGACGAUAUAAAUCUUCGAUUCUUCUAUUGCAGAGAGCAGUGCAGAUGAAAUUUCUUCGCCCCGGGGUAGUGUCUCAUCAAUAUAUGCUUCUAUGUUCUUCCUUUGCAGUGCUGGAUGAAGGUGGCUAAUGAAGUUGUCACGUGUGUCUUCCCCUCUGAAGCUGAGAAACACAUCAUGCUUUGUUAGAGAAGUGGACACGGGGAAUGAUGAAGAACUUCCUGUUUAAUUUCUUCGCCCCUGUUUAAUCUGUAAUCAAUAUAUGCUUCAAUGUUCUUCCUCUGCAGCGCUGCAUAAAGGUGACUAAUGAAGUUGUCACGUGUGUCUUCCCCUCUGAAGCUGAGAAACACAUCAUGCUUGGUUAGAGAAGCAGACAUGGCCAAUGAUGAAGGGUUUCAAUUUUCUCUGCAACUCUCAGAUCCCUUUGUUUGUAAGCAACUUGCAUAUAUUCUAUUUCUAUCACAAAUCAACUUUUGGAAAAGCCUUCAAUUCAAAAUAUGCUUCACAGCUUUAUAUUAACGUGCCUAGCUUUAUACCAUUCUUACGCAUUGGUAAAGAUUCUUCAAUAUCUUUACUCAAUUUGUUUCUUCAAUACCUUUUACACAUUCUUACGCAUUGGUAAAGAUUCUUCAAUAUCUUUACUCAAUUUGUUUCUUCAAUACCUUUUACAUAUAAAGAAUCGGAUUUGUUUAAUAUAUUUUAGAAAAUAACCAGUAAACAGAAAACUAGGUUAAUAUGACUAAAUGAAUAAAGAUAGUACUCAUAAAAAAUAUUUUAGAUUACAAGUGGUAUAACUAAAAUAAAAUAUUUUAUUUUUAAAAUAAAAUUUAUAAAUAAAUAAAAAAAUAUAAUUGUUUAGUUUUCGGUGUAAAACAAUAUUCAUUUUUAUAAAAAAAAAUCUUUUCUCUUUUAUUUUAUUUUUAUAUUUCUAAUUAGAGUAUUCUUGAGUUUGACAAUAGAAUCCUUUCUUUGGACUUUUGGAAUUAAAUAAAGAUGUUAAUUGAAAAAAAAAAUUGAAAUAGAAACUAAUUUAGAAACCAAAUUUCUUUUUAGUUUCUAAAAUGGUCUCUAAUUUAGUUACUAUUGCAACUAAUUGUUUUGGUUUCUAGAAAUUGGUUUCUAUUUCAUGAUUUUCUUGUAGUGUAUACUGAAGGUGUGCACCCCUAUGAAAUGUUUUUAUUUCUAGUUGAUGUGUGAUUUCCAAUAAUUAUAUAAAUUGAUUGUUAUAUGCAGUGUGAAGUUUAACCUUGAUUUUUACUUGAAAAAAUGGAUUUUAAUAUGAGGUAUGCAUGCUCUCAUACUCAAAUUCAAUAAGCGGAAUUUUCACAUGUCAAUAGAAUUUGAACCUGCAUAGUUUUGGGCACUCUCCACCUCAAAUUCGCUCAAUGUUUUUUCCUGCGUUUAAGCGAAAUUACAUGCAGAUUUUGGAGUACUUUCGGGCUUAAAAUUGCUCAAAGAAAUUUCCCUAUGGCAAGCAAAUUUAAGCUACAAUUGUUUGGGUGUUCUUUGCCUCAAAUUCGUUGCCUCAAAUUCGUUCAGCGAAGAUUUCUCUGGGCUUAAGCCCCAACUUCAUGGGCUCGAGCCAUUUUGACAACAUUUGUCAUCUUUGCUUAGAUAUCUUUUGGUUUGUUUUCUAUAGGUCAUGAAAUUGAAUUAAAUCUUUUGAAAUUUAACAUGUGUUUAAAAUAAGUAAAUCUAACAUUUAUAAUCAUGCAACAUGUGUUUAAUUUAUAAAAAAAAUAUAAAACAAAUACUCAUUAUAUAUUCAAUUGAUAUGUAAAAUUUUAAAUAUUAUGUGAUUAUUGUUGAUAUUUUGUAACGGUUUUAAAAAUAUAAACUUCUAUAUGAUUGAAUGAUAUAUUAUCGAUACAUAGUAAUUUCAAGUAAGGAAAUACUUUGUUAAGGAUAGUUAGGAUGUGUCUUGAUUAGUAAUACAUUUAGAAUAAGAUAUUUGACUCUAUUCACAUAUUAAGGUGGUGACAGUCAAAUGAGAUUUAUAUGAUUUGAUCUACAAUAUAAAAAAUCAUAAUCUAACAUGCCAUAUGAAUUAACCUUGUCAUAUUAGGUGAUUCUAUUAUGAUAUUCUUAUUCGCAUAGAUGUGUGAAUUUCACAAUGGGGUAUUAUAACAUGUGCAAAUUUUUUAGUCUAAAUCAAUGUACGAUUCUUUCAGAAAUAGGGUCAAGUGUACAUGUGGAUCUAAUUAGAUUUUUGACAUGAGUAAUAUGGAACACAAGUCAUUUAGAGACACUUAAUUGUUUAAUAUAUUAGGAAUGAAUGAAGUGUGAUUAUUCAUAUGAUUAUGAUUGAAUGAUUCAAAUAUAAAUUUUAAAAAUCAUUAACUUAGCCUAAUUUCUUGUUAGUAUCAUUUUUUUGUUAGUAUCGUUUUUUUUUUAGAUUUGUUAUGAUCGUGAGUUACAUGUGAACAUAUGAUGUUGUAUGUUAUAGGCCUCAAAAUUGAAAAUGAGAGAGUUUUUUCUUUUAAUUCUUUUGAUGUUUUAUUUUGAUGUAUAUAUUUGAUUAUGAUAUAAUAAUAUUACAAUGUAAAUGUUAUUUAUAUACUAUCACAUGGUAAAUUAAAAUUUAAUAAGGUAGUUAAGGAUGUUAUAAUUAUUCUUUUAAUUUAUUUUAUUUCACUGUAUAUUUAGGUGUAUUACGUAAAAUGUAUAGUUAAAAAAAAUAAUGUUAUUUUGAAAUUUAAGCUUUUGUUAAAAUUAUACCAUUUGAAAAGGAACACAGAACAAUCUUGACAAUUAUACUGACUUAGUACUUAUUUUAAUUUAUUAUAUUCAUGAGUAUUAUUUUUUUCUUAAACAUAAAUAUUGGAUAAAAAAUAUAAAUAACAUUUAUUUAUUUCAAAUUUAAAAAUCUUUAAAAUAAAUAUAAAUAAUAUUUUUAAUCAAGAUGUGUUUUUUAACAAUUUUUUUUAAUUUAAAAAUAAUUAAUUCGGACGAUGAUUAAAGAAAUAUUAACAAAUUAUUUCUGCGAUUAUAAUAAACCUUCAAUAAUUUUUGCACUUUCUAGCAUAUAGAAUAUGGAUCCUUUUGUGAUUUUUCUUUUCUAAAGUACAAUUGAUAUUUUAAAUGUUUUUCUAUUUAAUUUUCCUUUCUUAAUGCACAUAAAAAUUUCAGUGCACAAUUAUUACUCACCUUAAUUCAAAAUGGAAAUUAAAAUUCAAGAACCCUACUUAUAUAUUAAUAUUCAACGAUUUAAAAUAUUAGUAUGCAAAUUAAUCUUUCUUAAUAAUAUUUGUAACAAUUUUUAAUAAUUCAAUGUGAAAUAUGUAAUAAUUACUUUUCUAUGAUUCAGAGGGAAAAUUAUUCCAACUAGACUUUUACAAAUAUAUUUCAAGUGGUAAUAUGAUUUUAAACAAAAAUAGUAUUCUCCACAAAAAUAAAUAGUUACUGUUCCUAAUUAAACAAGUCACAUUCUUGAACAAAAUAUCAAAUAACAAGGAAUUAGACUAUGAAAUGAUGACCAAUUAUAUUAAACAACAUAACAUACAUUUCUCAAUGUACACAAGGUAUAAAUAAUACAAUAUCAUCCAAAACCUGUGUUCACUAUGUAAAUAAACCAUUUUUUUUGCCAUUACCUCUUUCAUGAUGAUGAUUUGUUUACUAGGGAUUGCAAUGAUAGGUCAUGAUCAAAACUUAGGCCUAAGACUAAAAAUAGAAUGAAAUGAGCAUGAAAAUAAAGAUAACUUUUGAGUGAGACACAUUCUUCCUUACAAGCAGCAAGUUCUUCCAGGUUAUCUUCUCUUCCUUCAACCGUAGCUGUGCAACCGCCUGUUGUUCAUUGCCACCAAUAUCUCUAGUGCCAAAACUAUGUUUUCCAAAAUUAGAGUUAUAUGGCUUUAUCUGUGAAGUCUUACCAGCCAUAAUGUUUUAUUUUACUGUUUUGUUGUAAUCAUGCCAAUAGAUAAAUCGUGGAUUUGUAAACCACGAAACACCAUUGAGUAUGCAAAUGGGUUGAAUGUGUUUUUGGAUAUUGCAUUUCAACAUGCUAAUGGUCCUGUAAUUAAGUGUCCAUGUGCAAAGUGUGGUUUCAAAAAGUGACAAACAAGGGAUGUAAUCCAAGAACACUUAACAUUUACAACUUUCCCUCAGAACUACAAAACUUGGUAUUUGCACGGUGAAAGACCAAGUGUAAUUGAGCCUAUGGUCACUACAAGUGUGCAUGUCAUUGAAGAUUUAUUUGAAUCUCAAAAUACAAUGGAAGACAUGUUGAAUGAUGCAUUCGAGUUUGCGGGACAUGAUGAGGAUACUGAAGUUGAUGGUUUGCAAACUAAUAUGGUGGGUGAUGAAGGAAUAUGAACUUUGAUGAAUUGAUGAGGGACAAUAAUGAACCCUUAUAUGAAGGUUGUACAAAGCAUUCGAAGUUAUCAUUCAUGUUGAAGUUGUACCAUAUCAAAUGCAUGAGUAGAAUGAGUGACAAAGCAAUGACCAUGAUUCUAGACUUGCUAAUGAACACAUUUGAACAUGCUAAGUUUCCUAACUUGUUUUAUGAGGCGAAGACUGUGAUUACCAAACUUGGACUUAAUUAUGUCAAAAUACCAGCUUGCCCAAAAGACUGAAUGCUAUAUUGGGGCGAAGACAAUGAAGGCUUAGAAGAAUGUAAACGGUUCAAAACGUCUAAGUGCAAAAAAAAAAAAAGAUAAGAAGCAAUUGCAUUACUUUCCAUUAAAACUGUGAUUGCAAAGAUUGUUUAUGAGUUCUAAGAUGAUUGAGUCUAUGACAAGGCAUGCAUCAAAGGAUAAUCAAGAUGGAUUGAUGAGGCAUCCUAGAGAUUCUGAGGCUUGCAAAUCAUUUUAUUGCAUCCAGAAUUUGUAAAUGACCAUUGAAAUGUACGAUUAGACUUAGCUGCUUAUGGCUUUAAUCCUUAUGAAAACAUGAGUAAAAACCAUAGUAUAUGACGAGUGGUUAUCAUCCCAACAAUCACCCUCCUUGGGAGUUAUGAAGCAAACAUCUUUUAUCCUCUACAUGAUAAUUUCUGGAAAACAAAUGGUAGAAAAUGACAUUGAUGUUUAUUUAAAACCACUUAUAAGCAAAUUGAAGGAGUUAAUAGUAUGAUCAUGUAAUUAUUAUUUAUAUACUAAAUAUUACGACAUAUAGUAAUUUAAAAUUUGAUAAGGUAGAUGAGGAUAUUAAAAUAUCUCUUUUAAUUUAUUUUAUUUUAUUGUAUAUUUAGGUGUAUUAUGUAAAAUAUAUAAUUAAAAAAAAUAAUGUUAUUUUAAAAUUUAAAGAAUCACGUAUAGAAAGAAACAUAUAACAAUCUUGACAAUUAUAUUCUGACUUAGAGAUACUUAUCUUAAUUUAUUAUAUUCAUGAGUAUUAUUUUUUUCUUAAACAUAGAUAUUGGAUAAAAAAUAUUAAUAAUAUUUAUUAUUUAAAUUUUAGAAAUAUUUAAAAUUAAAAUUAAAAUUAAAUAAUAUUUUUAAUUAAAAUAUGAAAAAAAUUCCUUAACAAUUUUUUUAAUUUCAAAAUAAUUAAUUCAGAGGAUGAUUGAAAAAAUAUUAACAAAUCAUUUCUGCGUUUAUAAUAAACCUUCAAUAAUAUUUGUACUUUCUAUCAUAUAGAAUACUUAAUGGAUCCUUUUGUGAUUUUUCUUUUCUAAAGUACAGUUGAUAUUUUAAAUGUUUUUCUAUUUAAUUUUCAUUUCUCAAUGACAAAUAAAAUGGUUCAGUGCACAAUUAAUUAUUCUCACCUUAGAUUUCAUUCAUCUCAUUCCAUUUCCACACUCAAAUCAUUCUCACAUUUUUUUCUACCUAUUUCACAAAGUUUUUGUUAAAAUAUGGAAAUUAAAGUUCAAGAACCCUACUUAUAUUUCAUAUUCAACAAUUUAAAAUAUUAAUAUGCAAAUUAAUAUUUCUUAAUAAUGUUAUUUUUAUGUAAAAAUUAAAAUGUAGUUUAGUCAUUCAUACUUAGAUGGAUAAAAAUGGUUUUAGAAAGAAAAAAAUAUGCAUUUUUUUGAAAGGUUAUCUAAACUCUAAACUCAUUGAUGAAUUAAUAAUAAUAAAUAAUAUGGAAUUCUAUACGAAUAGCAUAUAAAUGUUUUCUUGUUGAAACUGAUAAUUAAUUCAGUCUAGGGACAAUUAUCGCGGUAUUUGUUCUUUUAUUUUUAAUGUUUAAACAAUUAUAAAAUUCUGUUUUUAGAUAUUAAAAUGAUAGUUUUCAUUUACAGAUUAAAAUAUUACUUGUUUCUUUUAAGAUUUUUUGUAUUAUAAUUAUUUGUUGUCUGAAUUGUUUUGAUUUAACAUGUUGUUUUCUUGGGCUAUGAUAUUGUGAGGUUUUAUUACAUGCAGGUACGUGAAUAUUUUUUUUAUCCUAGUUGUAUAAAUCAGGAAAAUUGUUUUUCACAUUAUAAUAACCGUUUAACAACUCUAAAUAAUAAUAAAAUAUUAACUCAUAUUGUUUAAUUAAAGUAUAAAUUAAAUUAUUAAAUAAAAAAGUAGUAAAACUGGUUGCAGGAUGGGAAUAUGAUUAUUUUUAACUGCUAGCUCCUGAUUAUUCUUUUCUAAUAAAAAAAACACCAAUAGCAACAAAACAAGUUUUGACACACGUAGGUUUGGCAAUUGUUUUAAUAGCUGAAAAUAGUACAACAAUUUUUAAUUACCACAAACUGCAUCUUAAAUCAUAAAAAAUUAGCAUUUUGUUAGUUCAUAUAUAAUAAAAUUUCCAUAAAACAGCCAAUUGUAUUAAUUAUUAAUAAUGUAUUUACAAUUUUUUUAGAUAAUUUUUUUACUAUAAAGACAUUUAUUUGAGAUUGAAAUUGUAAUUAACACUUUUUGGUCAAAGAAUAAUAUAUUUCACUUGAUUUUUUGUAUUAAAUAUUUUGUAUAGCGCUGAGACAAAAAAAAAUCUCAUAUAAAUCCCUAUGUGCUACAAGUACAAUAUAACAUCCUUAAUGUAAGCAAUAAAAAUGAUGAAUACUCAAAGUCGUGUAAUUACGCAAAAGAAUCAAGUGAUUUUUAAAAGAACUCACAUGAUCAGUUUAAAUUUUGACGAUAAAAUACAUUAAUUAUAUAUAUUUAUUCAAAAUUUCAAUUAUAUUAUGCAUUAAUGGUUUUAUGCUUUUAGAGGAAUCAGAGAAACUUAGAAAAGCUCCUAAAAACUAAUGUAACCCUAUGAAUAGAAGAGAGCUAAAAGAAAGAGAAAAUGGAAGUGAGAAAAGAUGAUAAUUAAUAAACACGCUCUCUUCAUAACAUAGAGUCUUUAAACCUAUAUUCCCUCAAACAAUUAUAAAGAAUUAACAAUCACACUUUUAUAAGUCAUCACCCACAUGAAACAAAACAAGGUGCCUCAAUAUGAAUAAACCAAGAUUAAUAAGAAAUAUGAGGUUUCACUAACCAAGCUCAGAAUUUUCUGCUUUUAUAGCUCCAUGCACAAACCUAAUACAAUGAUAUGAUAUUCACUGCAAAUGCAACCCAAAUAUGCUAAAGAAGUUAAUGAAACCCAAAUAUAAAGAAUUUGAAGAGAAUGCAACUCUGGGACAACAGAGCACACCAUCUCAUGCUGAACAGAAACAUCAAACUAUAUCUAACAAUAACUAUACCUAUGUUUGCUUUGGGUCUGUUUUUAGUUUCAAUGUUACUCUUUAUCUGCAGGUUGGGAACAUAUCUUGAUGAAAUAUAGAAACAUUUUUAUUCAUAAUAUAUAUAAGGAUUACACAUUCAUAAUUAUUUCUUUCUGUCGUAGCAUUGUCUACCUCAAAUCACUGCAACUUUCUGUUGUUGGUAUUUGCAUAUCACGAUGGUUAUUGAGAAAUUUAGGAGUUUGCUGUUGUGUACCAGAAGUAAAAUAGAAGGUUCAUUUUUUGGUCAUCAUCAAUUAUUAAUGUAAAUAGAUAUAGGUGAAGGAGAUCAGUAUUAUGCAUUGUAUCAUGGACCAUUAGAAGACUAGGGUCACCAAUUGGAGGCAUUGGUAACUUUGGCUAGUAAAACUAAAACCAAAGUCCAUUUUUACAAAGCCUUGGUCUAAUUCACCUUAUAGCUGUACUUUUUCCUCCAUUUUAAUAAUAUUAAGUUUUCAUUUUCUAUGCAUAAUCUUGGGUAAUUUUCUUUUUAUAUCAAUGCUUGAAGUGUCAAAUUGUUACAAGCUGGAUUAUUAAGAAAGAAAAGAGUGCAUUCUGGAUGCUCGAAAGGGAGUGUUUCCUAGAAAAAAAAUGUGAUUUCAGGGUGUCCAGGCUCAGGUAGCAAUGGUAGGAGUUCCACAUUGAAAUGGAUGAACUACUUGAUUUAGUACUUUGGGACUCUCUCACCUAAUGGACUAGUAUUUUGGGUUAGCUUCUCUCCCCUUAAUGCUUAAGUCCUAAAAAACAGUUUUUCUGUUUCUAUUUAUCUUUUAGGGUGUGAUUAGGACCAUGAAGCAGUGGGUGUUUUUUCCAUUAAUGAACUUUGCCACUGCCACAGAUCACCUAGGUUAACCUAAUUAAGUCUUCUGAAUUGUAUUUUGUAAUUAAUUCUUGUAAAACAUGGAGUGUAAAAUUCAUGUACAUUUUUCUUUUCCUCUUUUGAUUUGGAUGUCAAACUAGCAACUUCAUGUUUUGUCUGGUUGGUCUAUCACAUUUAUGUAGGUUGUAAUCUAUUUUGCCUAAUGCAUCAGUUGCAGAUAGGUACUAAAUUAUCUUAGUUCGGAUACACCUUGCCAAUUAGAUUAAGAUCAAGAAUUUAAAGUGAAUGGUUCACUUCUGAGUUCUUAAAUGAGAUAAAAUGUUCAGAGAUACUAAAUCAUCGCCUUCAUUUGAAAAUUGGCGUGCCUAUUAUGCUUUUGAGAAAUAUUGAUCAAACCAACGGUCUUUGUAAUGGAACAAGGUUGCAAGUUAUUGAUUUGAAGAAAAUGUUAUUUGUGCAAUAGUUCUAACAGGAACAAAUAUUGGUGAUAAAAUCUUCAUUUCAAGAAUGAAUUUGAUCCCUUUAGAUGUAGGUAUGCCAUUCAAAUUCCAGAGAAGACAAUUUCCAAUAGCUUUAUGUUUUGCAAUGACAAUUAAGAAAAGCCAAGGUCAAUUAUUGACCAAAGUUGGUUUAUAUUUUUCACAUCCAAUUUUCACACAUCGAUAGUUGUAUGUAGCUAUUUAUAGAGUUCGAAAGAAAAAAGAUUUAAAAAUUCUAACUCUUGAUGAAGAUGGAAUGCAACAAACAAGAAAAAGAAAAUGUUUACACUGAAAUUUUUGACAAUAUUUGAAAACAAUAGAAUUAUAUGAUAAACUUGGAAUGGCUAAUUCUCCCUGCAACCAAUAUUUUUGAACCUGCAACUUUUAAAUUUUUGAAAAUGCUCUUUAUUCCAGAAAUGAAAAUAAUACAUUACAAAAAAAAUAGAUCCAAAAAAGAUUAUUGUGUUUUGGUAAUAAAAAUCGGAAAACAAAAAUCAAAAGCCCAUUAUGAAUAAGAAAAUUCGUAAUACAAAAAAUUUGGUCUUAAAAACAAAAUCUGAAAACAUAUUCCAGAAAGAAAAUCCGAAAUGUAUUUUUAUAUAUAACCCAUUUUUUCAAGGGAGUUUCGUCUUUUCUAUUGUAAAAGGGGUUGGAAUUUGCUCCCUUGGAAUUAUAGUUUCUUAUGUGUGAUGUAGUAACAGUUGCCUUAUUUAAAAUGUUACUAAAUAACAUAUAAUUUAUAUCUGUUAUUUUUAUUCUGUUAUGACUUUAUAUAUUUGUCACAACAUGAAUGAGGCACAAACCCAUCUCAUGUUAACGAAGUUGAGAAUUUUCUGAUUUUACAGGUCCAUGCAAAAAUCUAAUAUAAUGAUAUGAUAUUCAAUAUCAAGAGGUACUUGUCGUAAAACGGGGAAUAUGAGAGACUCCAUAGAAUGAAGAAAAAGUAUAAAGAGGAUUUACAAAUUAACCUUUCAAAUGCAGCUCCUCAGAAUUUCAUAAUGCCUUCACUGCAAAUGCAACCCAAAUAUGCUAAAGAAGUUAAUCAAACAAUACAUGAGGAGUUUCAAGAAAAUGCAACUCUGGAACAACAGAGCAACCCAUCUCAUGCUGAACAGAAACAUCAAACUAUAUCUAACUUAGAAAUCUUUGUCAACAAUUGAACGAACCCACUCCUUAAAUACCAUUGAAAAUGUAAAUAAAACAAAAUAAAUUAAAAACGAGAAAUUCAUAAUAAAAAUUAAACGUGUUGAACCCUGUAAUUUAGAAGUAUUAACGAUAAGGCAGUUUAGAUCCUCACCAAUGAAAGAGACUAGCUGACUAGGUAGCUUUCGGCCUUCCUCUUCCUAUCUUCCCUUGUUUCUCUUGAAGACUCUGCAAUAUUGCUUCCAUUGGAUUGUUCAAAGUCAACAGCACCACCAUAUUUAUCAUCUUUCUUUUUCGUAUAAAGAGGGCAUAUGCCGCAUUCCUUUAUUGUGAUACCUGAUUUCAACCGAAAGUGAUAAUCACACGGACUGAUAAGUGAAGCUGCGAGCAUCACAGAUUCUAAGGCUCAUGCCGCUCGCCCUUAGGAACUCCAAGUUAAAUUUCCACACGAAUGUGUGAUCUUGAUCAACACAUCUCUCUUCACCAUUCGAAAUAGCUGUUUAACACAUCUAUCAUCGCUGCAGAAACUUAAAUCUUCAUUUAUAGUCACUGAAUGUCCCUUCCCACGAAAAUGGAACCAACCAGGAACUGCAGUCCCUGGAAAACAGAAGAACACAGACCUAUAUCUAUCGUCGGUCAUCCUAAGCCUUGCAUCCUCCUCAAUGUUAGCACGACCACCUGAAUCCAGUUGCUGAGCAUUGGUGAAAUGAAAUUUGAAUACACCCUCUUUGGAAUUUGAGAGGUUUCGAACAAGAGAAUUUGGCAUCACUCUUCUAAUGGAUGGGCAAUCCAAUGCCACGAGUUGCUUUAGAAAUGGUGGAAUCUGUGGGAUGCAUUCAAGCUUUUUGCAGUCGCUUAAAUCAAGCGAUUUCAAGCUUGAAAGAUGAGCAAUGCUCUCAGGAAGGUUCACGAUUCCGCUAUCACGCAGUGAUAGUUCCAUUAAUAACGUCAAACGACCAAUGUGUCUUGGGAUUUCUGUUAAUUUGGAGCACCCCGAACAAUUUAGAGAGAAGCUUCAGAUUAACAAUGGAGUUUGAAAGUGACUCGAUAUCAGUGUAUUUCUGAAGCUCCAAGGAUCGAAGAUUAACGAAAUUGCAAAAUGAGGAAGGCAACUGCGCAAACUCAGUUGUUGAAGCCCUACCAAACGGCACAAGGAUGAAGGUAGUGCCUGUAUGGCUGUGGCGUCUAAGAUGAGCACCGCUAGAUCUUCCAACGUGUCCUGAAUCUGGGGUAAAUUUUCCAAUUUUGAGCAACCACGGAGAGAAAGUUGCUUUAGGAAUUUCAUAUCAGAAAGGUCAAAUGGAAAGAUUGUAAGGGAAGAACAGUAAGAGAGAUCUAAAUGACAGAGCUUCUUGCAACUAAAGUGUAAGGGCACACCUUUCAUGAAUUUUGUCAACACUUCUAAGUAUAUAGUAUUAUUAGCCACUUCUUCUUCUUCAUUAUAUCUGUCAAAAGUAAUUGAGGAAGUUGGGAAAAUAUGACCACUGUAUGCACGAGGUUCACCACGCCGUCCUGCACCAUGCCGUUCUGAGAAAUUUAUCUCUUUGAUCAUAUCCGGUUUCUGGCGAUGGAAUCUUGAGAAAGUUUGACGUUGACGCUCCACGCUCCAGUAUCACAUGAGGGAAUCUUGAGAAAUUUCCACGUUGAUGCCCCAGUUUCUGAUGUGGGUAUCUUGUGACGCUCCAGUUUCACAUGACGAAAUCUGGGUUCACUGGUUGAAAACAUAUUAAGCUUCCCACAACAGGAAAUAUUAAUCCAUCCUUGUAAUGUGGAUAAAAUGUUGCUGGGAAUAUUUAUACUAUUCAGAUCAUAACAAUUAUCUAAACAUAAAUAACUGAGCUUGCUGAGUAAUAUCGAAGAGUGAACUUUAAUCAACUUUCCACAAUAACUCAGAAUUAUUUCUUCAAUAUUUGGUAAGAGAGAAAAGUCUGGUAUUCUAGUAAGUUUCCGAGAACCACUCAGGUCAAGCCUUUUCAAGUUUGGUAAAUUCUGCCACAAAUAGUAAAUGAAUCAGGUAACAAAUAAAAACCACUGUUAAAAAAAUCACACUCUGAACUAACAAAACUGUGGCUAUUCACUAUCAACAAUCCCUCUCAAAUACACUUCUACUAAUACAUUAACAACAAUAUCAUUAUAUUAACCAUAAAAUAUUACAUUUCUUCAGUUAAUACGUAGGACAAUAUAAUAAUCAGGUCACUCAGCUAAUGAAAAAAAUUAAACAACAUGAACUCAAUUAAAUAAUAUAAAACUUUUGAGUACUAGAUAAAAUAAGAAAAUUAAUAAAAAUUCAAUUUGAAAAUAAUCAAAUUUAUAAGAUACUUAAAACUUAAUUAAACCUACAAAUUUUCAUUAUAUGGAGUUAAAUACUAUAAAUAUUUACCACAUAAGUAGAAUGUUUAAAUAUAUAUUUCUUCACGUUGGAAGUUUUUUUCCUCUAUCUUAUAAGUUUUCUUUGUUUCUUUAAUAUUUUUUAAGCCAAUGUGAUUUUUUUAAUAUAAAAUAUUAUUAAAGAUAAAAUAUGAAGAUAGGGUAAUUAAAUAUAAUUUUUUAUUUUUUAGAAAUGAUGAAAAUUAUAAUUAAAUUAACUAAAUUAUAUAAAAUUCUAUUUCAUUUACAUAACUACUUUUCAUAUUAAAAAAACUAUAUAAGAUCUUGAAACUAUAAUUAAUAUUUCUACUCAUUUUUCGUUUUUGUUGGUGAAAUCUUGAUUUUGGGAUAGUAUUAGUGAGAUAUUGUUUGGAGUUAAAAACAAGAAAUUCUUUUGCAUAAUCAAUUUGAACAGUUUUGAUUUUGAAACCAGAUUUUCAGAGAAGAGUUUAAAGCGUUCAAAUGCAGCAAGAGCUUGAGAUUUAGCAUGCUAGAGAUAAAUUCAUGUAUAUUUUAAAUAUGCAUUAGGAAAAGAGAUAUCGUAUGAUGCAACAUUAUUAGCACAAACAACAAACAGCAGAACGUCCCCAAAUAUCAAUAUAGAUAAAUUCUAAAAGGUGAUUAUCCACACUGUUUUAGAACAACUUUGAUUACAGAAAAACUAUAACGCCCAAGUCUAUUAUGCCACAAGUGAAAAGAAGUUUUUUCAUAUUUAAAAGAUGUGUAGUUAGCAGAAAAAACAGAGGAUCAGAGAUCAAGAAAGACAGAGAGAUCAUCUUUAAGUGUGCCUUGUAGAAGAAUCUGUUUAGUUACUUAGUCUUUAACAUAGCAAGAAUGAGGGUGAAAUUCAAAAAACACAUUGUUGUUACGAGCAAACUUUGAAACACUAAGCAAAUUCUUAGUAUAAUGAGAAACAUGUAAAAGAUCAAGGAGAGAGAAGGAAGUACAAGAGGUAGACGACACACAGGAAGCAGAACCAAUGUGGGAGAUUUUUAUACCUGCACCAUUACCAAGUUUAACGUUCGCAAUGCCAUGAUAGAUUUGUUGAUCAUUGAACAGAGUAUGGUCGUUUGUUAUAUGGUGAGAGACACCGCUAUCUGGGUACCAUAAUGGAUCUUCUAAAGAUGAUGGUGGACCAAGAAGAGAGUAAGAAGAGUCAUCACGUGGAGGUGGAGAGAAAUGAGAUGUGUUUGCAGAGGAGGAUGGUGGUGUAGUACGAUCAAACCAGUGCCAACAAUGAAGAGCAGUGUGUCCAAGUUUGGAGCAUAUUUGACAGCGAACAGGGUUGCGUUUCCAUGAUGAAGACGUAGUGGAGUUCCAAGAAGAGUAUUGGGAAGGUCGGGGUUUGCCGCGGUUGAACUGAUUCUAGUUAGAUGUGGGAUUGUAACCACGACCACCACAGGAGGAGUUGGAAAAGGGGAGGUGGAGAGAAAUGAGAUGUGUUUGCAGAGGAGGAUGGUGGUGUAGUACGAUCAAACCAGUGCCAACAACAAUGAAGAGCAGUGUGUCCAAGUUUGGAGCAUAUUUGAGAGCGAACAGGGUUGCGUUUCCAUGAUUACGACAGUAAUAAAUGUAUUAUAUUCUUCAGAUAGCCUUCAAGGAUGAUGUCAAUAUGAUCAGUGGAAACAGGGGCAUCAAUAGCGGCAAGCAUGUUGACGGCGUUCUUGAUAUCAUGGAGAUAGGAGGAGAUGGAUCUGUGAUGACCUGAUUUUGUUGUUGGUACCAUUAGAGACUUGGGGACUGUCAUCAGUGGUGGAAGAAGUGGUUCUUGAUGGAACACUAGUGUCGUCAAGAAAAUGACCCAGUUUGAGCCCGCAAAUGGAGGCAAGGACUUGAUGUUUCCAGAGAAGAUAGUUAUCUUCAUCUAGUUUAAGAGUGAUGGGUGUUGUGAACUGUUGAACGGAAGGCAUGACCAGAGGUAACGGGCAAGAAGAAGAUGCAAAAGAAGAUGAAGAGAUAUGAGUGCAGUGCAUUAGAAUAGAGAGAGAAAGGAGAAAGAUAUUAUCUUAGUAUAUGUGCUAAAGGUAUAUAAGGAGUGCAGAACUGGAAACACUUACAAAGUUGUCGUUACACAGUUAUAGUAUGGUUAACAAUGUAUAAUACAGAAAACAUGCUUGUGUACUUUAUUUUUAUCUUUGAAAGUUUAGAACACAGAGGAACAUAGAUAGCUAGAAAAACCUGAUCUCCUUCCCAGAGUUGUUCAAGAUGGCAGCCUGGCAUUUCCAGGGUCACAGUCUGGCAUUUCCAGGGUCACUAGAUUUUGUGGGCAAAAGUUUGGAGGCCAGAAUCUUUGAGGGAAACCGUUCCAAUAAAGAAACUUUAGAGUGUCUGGCAGACCUACAAGAGAUGAUUCAAGAGACACAUUUGAUAUGAAUAUAGGCAUGUAGACCAUAAGCAUCAUAAGAUUGUCCAUCUUUUCGAAACUUUGUGCAUGUACUACAGCAUCUUUUACUUUGUUCGUAUGUAGUAAUAUACACUGUAUUGCAUCUGACCCCUGAAAGUAAAUCAAUUUAAUUAGGAGAAAAAAAACAUGAAAUGUUGCAUUGCAGGAUGUUUAAUGACAUCUCAGUGGUUUGCAAUUUUUUACAAAGUAAAUCCAUUCUCAAUUGAGUAACGACAUAAUACCUUGUUCUUUCUUAAAACCUCUCAAAUUUCCUCAGCAUUAAACAAUCGGCUGCGUUUUCCAGGAUGCUGAGGACACUCUUUACGAACAAUUUCUUGACUCAUUUCUNNNNNNNNNNNNNNNNNNNNNNNNNNNNNNNNNNNNNNNNNNNNNNNNNNNNNNNNNNNNNNNNNNNNNNNNNNNNNNNNNNNNNNNNNNNNNNNNNNNNGAUCCAUCUUUUUCUGCUGCUACCAUGUCGAACUCCCUUCAAAUCAAUACAAUGUCUUCACCAUCAAUCAGCCAAGUGAUUAAUGUUAAACUCACACAAGAAAAUUAUUUAUUGUGGUCUGCUCAAAUCCUUCCCUAUUUACGUAGUCAGGGGCUGGUUGGGUUUGUGGAUGGAUCCAUGCCACCACCAAACCAAACGAUUACGGUUGAGUCAAGUGAAGAAACAGGGAGCCGCAAAAUCCUGAAUUCACAGUCUGGUACCCCCAGGACCAGCUGGUACUCAGUCUCAUCAACUCAUCGGUUACCGAGGAAGUUCUCAGCACGGUGGUCGGAAUCACCACUGCACGAGAAGCCUGGGAUAUGCUGGAGCGGCAAUUUGCCUCCACAUCUCGAGCACGAGCAAUGCAGAAUCAUAUGGAACUCUCCACGAUCCAAAAGAAGGACAUGACAAUUGCUGACUAUUUUCGUAAAGUAAAACGUCUCGGAGACACUCUGGCUGCCAUUGGCAAGCGAGUAGAGGAUGAAGAACUCAUCGCCUACAUGCUGCAAGGACUUGGUCUAGAUUAUGAUCCUCUUGUCACAAGCAUUACAACUAGAACAGAUGUUUACACUGUCAGCGAUGUGUAUGCUCAUAUGCUGAGCUACGAGAUGCGUCAUCUGCGUAAUGGUACUCUUGAGCAAUUUCCUUUUGCUAACAAUGUCAACAGCAUGUCUAAUCGAGGAGGAACUAAUGGACGUCGUGGUGGUCGUGGUCGUCAAUCAAAUGGUGGUCGAGGACAAACAUGGCACACUAGAAACAAUUCUGGACGUCAGCCAUCAAAGGCACAAAGUAACUCAGACAAAGUCUGUCAGAUUUGUGGUAAGCCAAACCAUGAUGCUUUGCAAUGUUGGCACAGAUUUGAUCAGGCAUAUUAAGCCGAAGACAAUCUUAAACAAGCAGUUGUGGCCACAAGUGGAUAUACUGGUGAUGCAAACUGGUACGUAGAUACUGGAGCCACAGAUCACAUCACCAACGAGUUAGAAAGACUUACCACCAACGAACAUUACAAUGGCACUGAUCAGAUUCAAGUUGCAAAUGGCUCAGGUUUUUCUAUCUCUCAUAUUGGGAACUCAUUAAUUUCUGGUUCAUCUAGAUCUCUUGUACUGAAACAUAUCCUAUAUGCUCCUAAAAUCAAUAAACAUCUGAUUUCAGUACAAAGACUAGCAUCUGAUAAUAAUGCCUUUGUGGAAUUUCACCCACACUGUUUUUUUGUUAAGGACCGAGCCACGAAGGAACUUCUGCUCACAAGUAGAUGUAAGAAUGGCCUCUACACUUUACCAAAUAACUCCAGCAAAGCAUUCCCGACAGCCAAACUUUCGAAAGAACAAUGGCAUAGAAGACUUGGGCAUCCUGCUUUCCCAGUCACAAUUAGAAUCUUGAAAAAUAAUAACUUAGCUCUAGAUACUAGAGUUUCUUCUUCCUUAAUUUGCCAUGCUUGUCAACUAGAAAAGCACAUCAAUUACCCUUUGUUUCUUCUCAACAUGUAUCUACAGCACCUCUUCAAUUGAUUCAUACUGAUGUAUGGGGUCCAGCCAUUGUCUUAGUGAAUAAUUCUAAAUAUUAUGUUUCAUUUGUUGAUGAUUUUAGCAGAUAUGUUUGGAUUUAUUUUUUGAAAUACAAGUCUGAUGUUGAGUCUGUGUUUCAUCAGUUUCAAAAACAUGUUGAAACCAUGCUAAACACCAAAAUUCGCUCUGUCCAGUCAGAUUGGGGGGGUGAAUACCAUCGUUUGCACCAAUAUUUCAAAACAACUGGAAUUGAGCAUCGUCUUUCUUGUCCUCACACACAUCAGCAAAAUGGGUUGGUAGAAAGAAAGCACAGACACAUUGUGGAAACUGGCCUUACUUUACUUGCCCAAGCUAACAUGCCUUUGUCCUAUUAGGAUGAAGCCUUCAAUACAGCUUGUUACCUUAUAAAUAGACUACCAUCUCGAAUCAUACAAGCAAGACACACCACUUCAUAAAUUAUUUGCAAAAAAUCCAGAUUACACCAUGCUUAAGGUGUUUGGCUGUGCUUGCUGGCCCAAUUUAAGGCCUUACAACACCAAGAAACUGAGUUUUCGAACCACUAAGUGUGUCUUCUUAGGCUAUAGUUCUUCUCAUAAGGGAUACAAGUGCUUAGAUAGAAGUACAAAACGAAUUUACAUCUCUAGAGAUGUAAUCUUUGAUGAAAAUGUGUUUCCUUUUGAAGAAUUAAAUUCUAAGUCAUCAAUCCAAACCAAAAAUUCACACCAGCCUGCUCUACUUCCAACCUUCGUUAAACCCGUUCCAUACACUGAAAAUGCUCUCACAAAUAUUGAACCAGUUGUUAAUGAUUCUCGUAUAAUUGAUGGUCAAUCUAAUGAUGUUGCUAAUAACAACUUGUCUGGUAUAAGCUUACAUCCUGCAGAUAAUACAAUAAGUCCAGAAAUUGUUGCAGAACAGGAAGCUGAGAACAGUCUGACCAAUUUCCAAGAACAGAUGUUCNNNNNNNNNNNNNNNNNNNNNNNNNNNNNNNNNNNNNNNNNNNNNNNNNNNNNNNNNNNNNNNNNNNNNNNNNNNNNNNNNNNNNNNNNNNNNNNNNNNNGAACAAGAUUGAAAAAUAACAUUGUCCAAGCAAAACAGUUCACUGAUGGUACUGUCAGAUAUUCAGAGACCUCAAGAAAGUUUACCGGUGCUGUCACUGUCAAAAAUCCGACCACAAUAAAUGUACUAAAAAAUGCUACUGAGACUGAUACAGUUACUGAACCUCAAAACCUGCAGGAAGCUCUACAAAGUCCAGGUUGGCAGGAAGCAAUGAAUAAUGAGCUCUCAGCAUUACAACACAAUGAGACUUGGGAUUUCGUUCCACCAAAACCUGGCAUAAAUCUCAUUGAUAGUCGAUGGGUGUAUAAAGUGAAAAGGAAAGCGGAUGAAUCAGUGGAGAGAUUGAAAGCAAGGUUGGUUGCUAAAGGGUUCAAGCAAAGAUUUGGCAUUGAUUACAUUGAUACCUUUAGCCCCGUGGUCAAGCCAUCAACAAUCAAAGUUAUUCUUUCACUAGCAGUAACCAAAGGCUGGAAUAUGAGACAAGUUGAUAUCCAAAAUGCAUUCUUGCAUGGAAUUUUGGAAGAGGAAGUGUACAUGCGACAACCAUCGGGAUUUCAAGACCCAUAUAAACCAAAGGAAUACAUAUGCAAACUCAAGAAAGCGCUUUAUGGCCUGAAACAGGCUCCAAAGGCUUGGCACUCAAGACUGACUGGAAAACUUAUGGAAUUAGGCUUUAGAGCUUCUGUAGCUGAUUCAUCUUUGUUUAUCCUCAAAAACAAAGAGGUAACCAUCUAUAUGCUCAUAUACGUUGAUGAUAUAAUUAUCGUGAGCUCCUCUGAUCAAGCCACCGAAAGGUUGAUUCAGAAGUUGAAAAUAGAUUUUGCUAUAAAAGACUUAGGUGGUCUUGAGUAUUUUCUGGGUAUUGAAGUCAAGAAGGCAAGAGAUGGCAUCACANNNNNNNNNNNNNNNNNNNNNNNNNNNNNNNNNNNNNNNNNNNNNNNNNNNNNNNNNNNNNNNNNNNNNNNNNNNNNNNNNNNNNNNNNNNNNNNNNNNNAAAUUAUUCAAAGAGCAGGGAACACUCUUGUCAAUUGAAGAACAAUUUAAAUACAGAAGUACUGUGGGAGCAUUGCAAUACUUGACAAUGACCAGGCCUGAUUUGGCAUUUGCUGUCAACAAGGUUUGCCAAUACCUUCAUACGCCUACUGAUGCUCAUUGGAGUGUUGUAAAGAGAAUCCUUCGUUAUGUCAAGGGCACAUUAGAUUUGGGAAUCAGAAUUCAGAAGUCUCCAACAAUGCUGCUGUCCGGAUUUUCUGAUGCUGAUUGGGCUGGUUGUCCUGAUGAUCGACGUUCAACUAGCGGCUUUGCUGUAUUUCUUGGAGCAAAUCUAAUUUCUUGGAGCUCUAGAAAACAAACCACAGUGUCCAGAUCGAGCACCGAAGCAGAAUACAAGGCCAUUGCGAAUCUGACAGCAGAAAUGAUUUGGAUAAAAUCAUUAUUGAAAGAGCUUGGUGUGUAUCAAUCAAAAGCUCCUCGACUCUGGUGUGACAAUCUAGGAGCUACAUACUUAACUUCAAAUCCAGUGUUUCAUGCAAGAACAAAACAUAUUGAAGUUGACUUCCAUUUUGUUCGAGAACAAGUGGCACGCAAAGCAAUGGAAGUUCAGUUUAUUUCAUCAAGUGAUCAAGUGGCUGAUAUCCUAACAAAACCACUGUCUAGAACUCUCUUUAUUACACAUUGUAACAAUCUCAACAUGUAUAAAACCUGUUGGGAUUGAAGGGGACUGUUAGAAUUAGUCAGUUAGAAGUGGAACACGUUUGUAGAAGUGGAACACGUUAGUUGGUUAGUUGCCUUAAGAAGCGGAUCAUGGAUCCAACCGUGUAUGCAAUCAGUUACCUUUCUUUAAUUAUAAAUACAAUACGUCCUCCACAUAGAGAGGUACAGUUAGCAAACUUUAUUAGAGCUGAAUCGGUAACAUCAUCAAGAAUGAGGAGAACCUUUGUCCGUUUGAGCCUUUCAUUGUAAUAUGGUGAAGAAGAGGAUUUCUCUUCCUUUAGAAGCUCAGACUGAUAUUUUGUUCUGAUACUGUCUAUUCCAUCUCUUUGUAUUUUUUCUUGAACGUCUAAAACAAGGCUGCUGGAAUCAAACUGCAAUGCCAAUUUGUGAUAUAUUUGAUUACAAAUUGUAGUUUUUCCUAUUCCUCCCAUGCCACAAAUUCCUAUGAUCCGAACAUCCGGUGACUCAAGAUGCAACAAGGACUGAAUUCCUUCAAUAUGUUUUUCAAUGCCGAUGAUUCCUUGAUCAUAACUGAUGGAAUAACGAUUCAAUUUUUUCAACAAGUGUGUGUUCUGUGCUGGCAGAUGAUUUAGAAAAUAAUGUAUAAGUAUUCAAGCACAAAAGCUAAACUAAAGAAAAAUUCUACAGCAUCCGUUUGUGACUUCUGAUACUAGGGAGAAGACUUGUAGGUACAAAGUUAAGCUAUAACAUGUAAUAUGGUUCAGAUCUAAGACCGACUAAUAGAAAUGAAAAAAGAAGCACUUGAUUUAGGGUGAGAUGAACACAAUUUUAGUAAAUGAAAAGAGAUCCUGAUUAUCUGGAAAGUGCGUGACCUGGUGACUUUUGAAUCCCAGCCUGCAAGUUCAGCAGCUUCGGUGAGAGCAUCCUUCCAUCCUUGCACUUUAUCGUGCUUAAAGUGCUGCUCAUGCUUUUCGAAUGCUUCUUUGUAUCUUUGUUCCUGCUUCCUAAUAGUUGAUGGAUCCACCUUGUAGAAAACAGGUAUGACAUCCCUUCCAAAUCUCUUCUUGCAUUCAAGUAUCUUAGUGAGUUCAUUCAAGCACCAAGUGGAAGAUGCAUAGUCUUGGGAGAAAACGAUGACAUAAAUCUUUGAAAAAUAAGUAUGAAAUCUAGAUAUAUAUCAUUAUCACGUGUGGAAGCUACGUCGUCUUGUAUUGGAUUUUCUAAUCUGCCUUUUAUCUUGUCUCAUUCUUCUUUAUCUUUUUUCUCUCAUCUCUCUUGCUUACGAUUUCUUUGCCUUUAUUCAGAAAUUUUAGUUAUAAUAAACCUUCAAUAAUAUUUGUACUUUCUAGCAUAUAGAAUACUUAAUGGAUCCUUUUCUGAUUUUUCUUUUCUAAAGUUCAAUUGAUUUUUUAAAUGUUUUUCUAUUUAAUUUUCCUUUCUUAAUGACACAUAAAAUGGUUCAGUGCACAAUUAAUUAUUCUCACCUUAGAUUUCAUUCAUCUCAUUCCAUUUCCACACUCAAAUCAUUCUCACAUUUGUUUCUACCUGUUUCACAAAGUUUUAGUUAAAAUAUGGAAAUUAAUGUUCAAGAACCCUACUUAAUAUUAAUAUUCAACAAUUUAAAAUAUUAAAAUGCAAAUUAAUCUUUCUUAAUAAUGUCAUUUUUAUGUAAAAAAUAAAAUGUAGUUUAGUCAUUUAUACUUAGAUGGAUAAAGAUGAUUUUAGAAAAAAAAAAUGCAUUUUAUUUCAAAGGUUAACUAAACUCUGAACUCAUUUAUGAAUUAAUAAUAAUAAAUAAUAUGUAAUUGUAUUCCAAUACCAUAUAAAUUUUUUUUAUUGGGUGCGUUUCUGAUGAAUUAAUGCACUCUAGGGACAAUGAUCGCUCUAGUAUUUGAUUUUUUAUUUAUUUUAAUGUUAAAAUUAUAGCUAUGUAGUACAGAUAUUACUGACACAGACAGACACGAACACGGACACAGAAAUACAUAAAAUCUCUAAAAUGUAGAAUACGGAGACAUUAAUCUAUAUAUUAUAUAAUUAUGAAUCAUAUAAAUUAACAAUAAAGAUUUAUGUGCACAAGUAUUUUUGAGAUUAUUUUUUAGAACAGAAAUAUGUUUUUCAUGACUAGUUCACAAAUAUUUGUUUCUUAUUCUUAUAAUCAUAAUAACAAUUUAUACCAUAAAGUUUCAAUUUUAGAAAAUUAAUGUAUUUUUUCUUUUUAAAAUUUCGUUAGAACUGUACUAGAAUUGUAAAAAAUCUAACAAAUACAUUUUGAAUUGGACAUUCCACGAAUACGUGUCCUACCAGUAUUUUGAACAACAUUCUUUCUUUUGGAACAAAGAGGGCAUAUGCCGCAGUCUUUUACUGUGAUAACUCAUUUCAACUCUCACACAACUGAUUCGUAAUCUGUGGGAUGCAUUAAAGCCUUUUGCAGUUAAAUCAAUAGUAUAUGAUGAUGUGAAUGUUAUUUAUAUACUAAAUAUAAUCACAUAGUAACUUCAAAUUUGAUAAGGUACAACAUGUUACCAUAUCUCUUUUAAUUUAUUUUAUUUCAUUAUAUAUUUAGGUGUAUUUAAUUUCUUUUAUUUCAUUGUGUAUUUAGGUGUAUUACGUAAAAUAUAUAAUUAAAAAGAAAGAAGAAUAAUGUUAUUUUGAAAUUUAAAGAAGACAUAUAGAAAUAAACAAGCUUUUGCUAAGAUUCCACCAUUGAAAAGGAACAUAGAACAAUCUUGACAAUUAUACUUUGACUUAUUUUAAUUUCUUAUAUUUAUGAGUAUUAUUUUUUCUUAAACAUAGAUAUUGGAUAAAAAAUACAAAUAACAUUUCUUUAUUUCAAAUUUAAAAAUAUUUUAAAUUAAAAUAAAAUAAUUUUUUAAUUAAGAUAUAACAAAAUAUUCUUUAACAAAUUAUUUUAAUUUCAAAAUAAUUAAUUCAGAGGACGAUUGAAAAAAUAUUAAAUAUUAUAAUAAAGCUUCAAUAAUAUUUGUACUUUCUAGCAUAUAGAAUACUUAAUGGAUCCUUUUAUGAAUUUUCUUUUCUAAAGUACAAUUGAUUUUUUAAAUGUUUUUCUAUUUAAUUUUUCUUUCUUGACACAAAAUGUUCAGUGCACAAUUAAUUACUCACCUUAGAUUUCGUUCUUCUCUUUCCAUUUCCACACUCAAAUCAUUUUCACCUUUUUUUUCUUCUUAUUUCACAAAACUUUAAUUAAAAUAUGGAAAAUAAAGUUCAAGAACCCUGCUUAUAUAUUAAUAUUCAAAAAUUUAAAAUAUUAAUAUGCAAAUGAAUAUUUCUUAAUAAUUUUAUUUUGAUGUAAAAAAUAAAAUGUAGUUUAGUCAUUCAUACUUAGAUGGAUAAAGAUGGUUUUAGAAAAAAAAAAAGAAUAUGCAUUUUAUUUGAAAGGUUAUCUAAACUCUGAACUCACUGAUGAAUUAAUAAUAAUAAAUAAUAUGGAAUUCUAUUCCAAUACCAUAUAGGAUGGAGAAAAGUAAGAAGAGGAUUUACACAUUACCCUUUCAAAUGGAGCUCCUCAGGAUUUCAUAAUGCCUUCACUGCAAAUGCAACCCAAAUAUGCUAAAAAAGUUAAUGAAACUAUAUAUGAAGAGUUAAUGAAACUAAAUGGCGUGUGCUGAAAUUUUUGAUCCGAUAACCAUGCCCACAUUCAAAAAGUGAAAGGUUACUUUGCUUUAUAUUCCUUUGGGUGGUGCUACUUUUCAACUUGACAACAAAUUCCCAUUAUUGUGUGGUUAUCAAUUACCAUUUAACUUAUUCUCAUACCACAUUCACUAUAUAAUAGUCCAUCAUAAACCCCAAAAUUUGCACAUUUUCUAUUUGCAAGACAUCCAACAGACAAAGAAAACAUGUGAAACUGUGUAAUAAUGUGAGAACGUAAGAACUUACUUCAUCAUGAAAUCAAGCCAUGCCUGAGGGUUUUUUCUGAGAGCAUUCACCACAGGUGCAUAUUCAUGUGGCUGUAUCCCAUACUCAGCUAGUAUUUCUGCUACCUCUGCCGCUUCUUUUUUUGUCAAAAAACACAUAUUCAUUAUUAAUGUGCAAUCAAAUGGUAACGAAACUAUGUAGUACAAACACACACUGAUACGACACUAGGACGAACAUACGUAUAAUGUUACUCCUUCUAUGGAAAUGAAGGAUAUUCAGCAAUAACUUUUAAAACUCAUUACAUAGAAAUUUGCAUCAAGUUAUCAAAGUCUAUAGGAAUGAAUUUUCAAUUCAUGGAAACACAGAUAACAAAAAGUAAUAGAAAAAUAGAAAAAAAGUUGUCAAAUGAUUCUAUAAAAAAUUAACCUAUCAUGAAAAUCAAGAUGAUAGAAAAUAAAAUAAUGUGGCAUGAACAUCAAAAUCGUAUAAAAGCAUAAUAGAAGAACAGUGGAUACCAGUUUCUGGCACGGCGAUGAUUUCUUCUUGCUCUCUUUUCAAUUCCCUCGAGUAAUUAUCGGCUUCACUUUUUGCUGCCAAAUAACUGCACAAUGAAAAUUAACAUGAAAUAAUAACGGAAUUUAAAUUGAGUUUUGUGAGUGUGAAGAGUGUGGUUGAACGUACCCGCCGAGGCCCAUGGAGAUGGCGCCGGCGGCGACUUCCGCUAUGCCAGCGGUGAGAACGAUGGAGGAGGUGACAUUGGCGCCGGAGAGGCCGGCGGCGAGGGCGAAGGGGACGGUGAGGCCGUCGGAAACGCCGAUGAUGAUGUCGCGGACUAUUUCGCCGGCGGUGAAGUGCUUCUCGGUGUGGUGGUUGAGAAGGUUCGUUCUCUCAGAAUCCACGCUUAUGCCGUGUUCGGUGGCGGCCAUUGGUGCAAGCUUGUGAAUGUGUUUGAGUUCGCCAACGUGCUCUGGGAAUCCAAACAAAGCCUUGCUGCUUUGCACAUAAAUUGAGCCUCUUUUGUGCUCAACUUACUCCUAAAUAGAACAAAAAUAUCUAACCGUUGAUGAUAUCCACGUGGAAAAUUAUCAAUGGAUAUCAAUAUCACAUUAUUUCUACACUAAUAUUUUAAUUAUUUUUAAAUAUUAUAACUAAAUCAAUCAAUAUAAUACCAAAUCUUCUUAAUUCUUUGGAUUAUAUAUAUUUUAUUUUAUUUUAUUUAUAAAGGAAGUUGUGAUAAAUGUUGUGUUUUGUGUGCACAUUAAUAAAAAUCAAAUAACCAAAAAAUAAUAAUCUUGUGAAAGAAAAAAUGGUAGAAUUUAUACUAUUCUACAAAAUUUUAAAAGUGGCUAAUGUGUUUUACUCAACUAUGUAAAUAAUUUUGGACUCUCUUGUUAAGGAAAUAAUGAAAUACAUUAAAUUUUGUUUUAUACUCUUACUUUAAGUUUUUUUGUGUUUCUCCUGACUUAAUUAAAUAUCAGAGAGUCGUCUUUUGCAGGUAGAUUUCAUUCUAUCAUAAUAUACCAACUGAAAACUUGUUUUCUGAAAAACACACGGCUCUCACCGAAUUGCACUUUCCAAUUUUUUUUAAUAGAAAUAAUAAUAAUUAAGUAUUUGUGUUCUUAUAUUUAAUUUUUAAUAAAAAAAUUAUUCUUAUGUACUUCUAAAUUGAUAUAUUUUACCAAUGUCUAUUAACAAUGGGAAGAAGUUUAUACCUAACAAAACUAUUUAACAUGAUUUGUUUGUAAAUUAUAGAAGUAUGUGUAGAAAGAUAUAAAAUUAAUGUUUUAAGAGAAAUUUAAGCAACUUUCAUAAUAUAUUGUAGAUUAUUAGUUGAAUUUAUGGAAAUUAAAAAUAAAUUGUAGGUCACCACACUUCCACUUUUUUUUAAUGAUAUCAAAUCACAACUUUACAAUUUUCACUAAUUUUUAACCAAUAACAAAAGAACAUCUUAGAAGAAGUGUGUUUAAGAAUUUGAUGUUAACUCUCAUUGUUUUUUAAACUUAAAUCCAGCUUUAUUCUUCAACUUUUAAUUUUUAUACAUAUUUAAUUGUAUAUAUAGUUUUUAACUCUCUAAAAUCAAACAAUUUUAAUUCAUUAAAUAGGCAAUGUCAUGAGUGUUAAACUUUUAACAUUUUUCUAGUAAUUAAAUUACUUAUGAAGAUUCAACUAAUUCAAAAUUUAAUAUUUUUACAAUUUUUAUUAUAAUAUUCUUAAAAUAUAUUUUAAUAUUUUGUUUUUCAUGUUUGAAAUAUAAAUGUUUUAAAAAAUCAUUUUAAAUUAUUUUGUUUCUCAUCUUAUGUAAUAAAUUACUAUAAUAAUUACUAAAACAUUUAAUACCUAUACAUUUUUAAUGAGCAAAAACUAAUAAUGAAUUAUAACAAAUAAAAAACGUUUCUGGGCAACAAAAUAGUAAUUAAUAUGAAUUAUAACAAAUAAUGAACGUUUUGUGGUAAUUUGUUUCACUUUCAAAUAAGUUAGUACUUCGCCUGUUAUUUCAUAACGGUAGUUUUUUUAAAUAUAUUAAGAAAAAUGUUUAUUUUUUUAUUUUUAAUGCACUUUUAAGUAACUUGCCUAUUAUAUUAUAUUAUAUGGGUAUUAUAUAUAUAUAGGUAAGCACCAAAAAAUAAAUUUAAGGUAAAAGUGAUAUAAUUAAAAUAAAAUAAAUUAUUAUUAAAUAGAAAAUAUAUAUAAUUAAAAAAAUCAGUUAUUUAAGUUUUAUUUUAAAAUAAUUUUUGUAAAAAAAUUUUCUUUUUUUCCUUGUUCACGAUUUUAAAUUUUAUAUUCACUUGGUAGACAUGUUUUGCAUGUGGUGUUUGGGACUUAAAAGAAUAAUAUAUGUUAGUUCAAGAUCCUAAUGAUGUGUUUUUAAGAAGUUGGACUAUCUUUGUUUUUUUAAGAAGUUGAAGUCUUUUUAUGAAUACUUAUCUUUUUAAACAGGUAAGAUAAACUAGUUUUAUCUGUAAAACUUAAGUUAGAAUAUCUGAAUAUGAAAUGUGAUUCUUCAUAUGAUUAUGAUUGAAUGAUUCAAAAUUCAAGUAUAAAGUUUUAAGAAUCAUUAACUUAUGUUUUUUUUUUUGUGCUAUUUUUUUGAUUUUUUGCAAUGAUUGUGUGUUGCAUGUGAGCAAAUGAUGUUACAAGUUGUAAACCUAAAAAAAAAUCAUGAAAUUUUGUCUUUUUUAUUCUUUUGAUAUUUUAUCUUAAUGAUAUAUAUAUAUAUAUAUAUAUAUAUAUAUAUAUUUAAAAAUCUCUAUAUGAAAGGAUAGUAUUUUAUGAUAUAAUAAUAUGAUAAUGUAAAUGUUAUUUAUAUAAUAAAUAUCAUGAGAUAAUUUAAAUUUUGAUAAGAUAAAUGAAGAUGUUACAAUAUCUCUUUUAAUUUUUUUUUAUUUCAUUAUAUAUUUAGGCGUAUUUAAUUUCUUUUAUUUCAUUGUAUAUUUAGGUGUAUUACGUAAAAUAUAUAAUUAAAAAGAAAAAAUAAUGUUAUUUUGAAAUUUAAAGAAUGACGUAUAGAAAGAAACAAGCUUUUGUUAAAAUUCCACCAUUGAAAAGGAACAUAGAACAACACUCUUGACAAUUAUACUUUGACUUAGAUACUUAUUUUAAUUUAUUAUAUUCAUGAGUAUUAUUUUUUCUUAAACAUAGAUAUUGGAUAAAAAUUAAUAAAAUUUAUUUAUUUCAAAUUUAAAAAUAUUUAAAAUUAAAAUAAAAUAAUAUUUUUAAUUAAGAUAUAAAAAAAUAUUCUUUACAAAUUUUUUUAAUUUCAAAAUAAUUAAUUCAGAGGAUGAUUGAAAAAAUAUUAACAAUCUAUUUAUGCGUUUAUAGUAAACCUUCAAUAAUAUUUGUACUUUCUAGCAUAUAGAAUACUUACUGGAUUUCUUACUCUUUCUUUCUACACCUCUAUCCAUACUAAAUAUAAAAAUACCAUUUUAUUCUUUUUUCUCCACCCCUUGAAUUUGAAAUAAUAAGCCCAUGGAUUAUGUAAUCUGGAUAUAUUCCGGAUUAGUCAAUUUCAUAUUUAGAAAAGACUUUCGGAUUAUGUAAUCCAGAAGCUAAUAAAACAUCUGAAAAAAAGGCUUCCGGAUUACAUAAUCCGGAAGCUAAUCUUAUGUAUAGAAAAGACUUUCGCAUUAUGUAUUCCGGAAGCUAAUCACAAAAGACUUCUGGAUUACAUAAUCCAAACGCUAAUUCUAAAUCUAGAAAAAAGACUUCCGGAUUAUGUAAUCCGGAAUAUUAAAAAAGAUAUUUUUGAAAUACGAAAAAUUUAUGGGGGUGACACAAGAAGGUAUGGAGGUGCAGGAAGAAACAGCCUGGAUUCCUUUUGUGAUUUUUCUUUUCUAAAGUACAAUUGAUAUUUUAAAUGUUUUUCUAUUUAAUUUGUCUUUCUUAAAUGACACAUAAAAUGUUCAGUGCACAAUUAACUACUCACCUUAGAUUUCGUUCUUCUUUUUCCACUUCCACACUAAAAUCAUUUUCACAUUUUUUUUACCUAUUUCACAAAAAUUUAAUUCAAAAAUGGAAAUUAAAGUUCAAGAACCCUACUUAUAUAUUAACAUUCAACAAUUUAAAAUAUUAAUAUUCAAAUUAAUCUUUCUUAAUGUUAUGAAAAAUUUAAAAUGUAGUUUAGUCAUUCUUGGAUGGAAAAAGAUGGUUUUAGAAGAAAAAAAUGCAUUUUAUUUGAAAGGUUAUCUAAACUCUAAACUCAUUGAUGAAUUAAUAAUAAUAAAUAAUAUGGAAUUCUAUUGGAAUAGCAUAUAAAUGUUUUGUUGUUGAAACUGAUAAUUGGGUGCGUUUCUGAUGAAAUUAAUUAAUGCAGUCUAGGGACAAUUAUCGCUCUAGUAUUUCAUUUUUUUAUUUUUAACGUUGAAAUUAUAAUUAUACAAUUCCGUUUUUAGAUAUUAAAAUGAUAGUUUUCAUUUACAGAUUAAAAUAUUACUUGUUUCUUUUAAGAUUUUUUUGGUAUUAUAAUUAUUUGUUAGCUGAAUUGUUUUGCGUUAACAUGUUGUUUUCUUGGGCUAUGAUGUAAGCAAUAUAAAUGUUAUUUUUAAUGUAAGCAAUAAAAAUUAUGAGUAUUCAAAGUCGUGUAAUUACUUAAAAGAAUCAAGUGAUUUUUAAAAGAACUCACACGAUCAGUUUUAAUUUUGACGAUAAAAUAUAUUAGUUAUAUAUAUUUAUUCAAAAUUUCAAUUAUACUAUGCAUUUAUGGUUUUAUGCUUUUAGAGGAAUCAGUAACUUAGAAAAGCUCCCAAAAACUAAUGAAAUCCCAUGAAUGAAGAAGGAGAACAAAUGGAAGUGAAAAAUCAGUAAGAUGAUAAUUAAUAAACACCCUCUCUUAAUAACAUAACAUAGGAGUCUUUAAACUUAUAUUCUUCAAACAAUUAUAAGCUGUCUUCAACUUUACUGUUAAACUACAAUUAUAAAGAAUUAACAAUCUCACACACCAACAACAUUUAUAAGUCAUCACUCACAUGCAACAAGGUGUGCCUCAAUGUGAAAAAACCAAGAUCAAUAAGAAAUGAGGUUCCACUUAACCAAGCUGAGAAUUGUCUGGUUUUCCAGCUCCAUGCACAAACCUAAUACAAUGAUAUGAUAUUCAAUACCAAGAGGUACCUUGUCGUAAAACUGAGAAUAUGAGGUUGCAUAGGAUGGAGAAAAGUAAGAAGAGGAUUUACCAAUUACCCUUUCAAAUGCAGCUCCUCAAGAUUUCAUAAUCCCUUCACUGCAAAUGCAACCCAAAUAUGUUAAAGAAGUUAAUGAAACCGAAAUAUGAAGAGUUUCAAAAUAAAAAUUUAACAUGUUGAAACUUGUAAUUUAGAAGUAUUGACUAUAAGGCAGUUUAGAUCCUGACCAAUGAAAGACUAAUAAGCAGAAGAGGAAGAGACUAGUUGACUGGCUAGCUUUCGGCCUUCCACUUCCUAUCUUCCCUUGUUUCUCUUGAAGACUGUGCAACAUUGCUUCCACUGGAUUCUUCAAUCUCAACAGCACCACCAUAUUCAUCAUCUUUCUUUUUCGUAUAAAGAGGGCAUAUGCCGCAUUCUUUUAUUGUGAUAACUGAUUUCAACUCUCUCACAACUGAUUCGUAAUCUGGCCACCCAAAGUCAUAAUCACACGGACUGAUCUCAAAAGUGAAGCUGCGAGCAUCACAUAGCCUGAGGCUCAUGCCGCUCGCCCUUAGGGACUCCAAGUUAAAUUUCCACACGAAUGUGUGAUCUUUAUCAACACAUCUCUCUUCACCAUUCCAUUUGAAAUAGCUGUUUAACACAUCAUUAUUUGGAAUGAUCUGUGUGCCAUCAUCAUCAGAUUCAAAUGUUAGGCUGUAACUAAAAGAACCAUAUCUACCAUUCAUAGCAUACGUAUCUAACACUCCAAAAACCACACUCAAAGCGAAACCAGUGAGCCUAUCAUCGCUGCAGAAACUUAAAUCUUCAUUUAUAGUCACUGAAUGUCCCUUCCCACGAAAAUUGAACCAACCAGGAACUGCACUCCCUGGAAAACAGAAGAACACACACCUAUAUGCAUCGUCGGUCAUCCUAAGCCUUGCAUCCUCCUCAAUGUUAGCACGACCACCUGAAUCCAGUUGUUGAGCAUUGGUGAAAUGAAAUUUAAAUACACCCUCUUCGGAAUUUGAGAGGUUUCGAACAAGAGAAUUUGGCAUCACUCUUCUAAUGGAUGGGCAAUCCAAUGCCACGAGUUGUUUCAGAAAUGGUGGAAUCUGUGGGAUGCAUUCAAGCUUUUUGCAGUCGCUUAAAUCAAGCGAUUUCAAACUUGAAAGAUGAGCAAUGCUCCCAGGAAGGUUCACGAUUCCGCUAUUACGCAGUGAAAGUUUCAUUAAUGACGUCAAACGACCAAUGUGUCUAGGGAUUUCUGUUAAUUUGGGGCACCCCGAACAAUCAAGUUUAGAGAGAAGCUUCAGAUUAACAAUGCAGUUUGGAAGUGAGUCGAGAUCAGUGCAUUUGUGGAGCUCCAGGGAUCGAAGAUUAACCAAAUUGCCAAAUGAGGAAGGCAAUUCUUUAACAGCCGUAGAUGUUAAGUUAAUGUGAGCAAAAGUAUGAGCCGGCUCCGUGAUCUCUGGGAAGGACCUCAGCCUUGAGCAACCACCUAAAUCAAACUUCCUCAAUUUCAAAUUGAAAAUGGUGCUUGGAAAAGUUUGAAGUGAAUUACAGUGGGUAAGGUCUAACUUGCAUAGUCUGGUGAGGGUUCCAAUGGAAGAUGGAAUAAUCUGAAGAUUGAAGCAACUGCGCAAACUCAGUUGUUGAAGCCCUACCAAACGGCACAAGGAUGAAGGUAGUGCCUGUAUGGCUGUGUCGUCUAAGAUGAGCACCGCUAGAUCUUCCAACGUGUCCUGAAUCUGGGGUAAAUAUUCCAAUUUUGAGCAACCACGGAGAGAAAGUUGCUUUAGGAAUUUCAUAUCAGAAAGGUCAAACGGAAAGAUUGUAAGGGAAGAACAGUCAGAGAGAUCUAAGUAACAGAGGUUCUUGAGACUUUGAAAGUUCAAGGGCACACCUCCUCUGAGAUUUGCCGACACUUCAAAUUGUAAGUAUAGAGUAUUAUUAGCCACUUCUUCAUUAUAUCUGUCAAAAGUAAUUGAGAAAAUUUCACUGGAACUUCGGAAAAUAUGAACACCGGAUGCACAUUGCGCUUCAACUAUCAUAUUUCCACGUUUAUGCCGCAGUUUCAUAUGAGGGAAUCUGGGUUCACUGGUUGAAAACAUAUUAAGCUUCCGACAACAGGAAAGAAUAAUCAAUCCUGGUAAUGUGGAUAAAAUGUUGUUGGGAAUAUUUACACUAUUCAGAUCAUAACAAUGAUCUAAACAUAAACAACUGAGCUUGCUGAGGAAUAUCGAAGAGUGAACUUCAAUCAACUUUGAACAAUAACUCAGCUUUAUUUCUUCAAUAUUUGGUGACGUAGAAAGGUCUGGUAUUCUAGUAAGGUUCGAAGAAUGACUCAGGUUGAGCCUUUUCAACUUGGGUAAAUUCUGCCACAAAAUGUAAAUGAAUCAGGUAACACAAAAACUAAAUUAAAGUUUUAGGCAAUUUUAUCUAUUUUUCUUCGGUAAACAAUAGAUGACAAUGUCGAAAUACUUUAUAUUAUGCAUGUAUCAACUGACAAAAUAAAACGAUGUUUUCUGAGAGUUAAAAUUAAACCUUAUUUAAAAUAAGUCCAUCUUUCCAUAUUUUAUAAUUUGUUGUAUAUUAUAUUGAAGUUUAUGUUAUAAUAAAAAAAAUGACUUAAUUAAUCAAAUAAUGUGGAGAAGGCACAAAGGAAUUGCAAAUGAAAACUUGUAUAUGUAUAAUACAGAAAACAUGCUUGUAUAAUUUAUUUUUAUCUUUGAAAGUUUAGAACACAAAGGAACAUAGAUAGCUUGAAAAACCUG